UUCUUCCUGUGCGGUACCCCAAACAAAAGGCACAUCCUUCUUUGUAAGCUCGUUGAGAGGUGCAGCAAUGGUGCCGAAAUCUCUCACAAAACGCCUAUAGAAACCAGCGAGGCCAAGGAAACUCCUCACUUGUGUGACCGUUUUGGGCUGCGGCCAACUCUCAAUAGCUUCAAUCUUGGCUUUAUCAACUUCAAUUCCCUGUGGAGUAACAACAUAGCCAAGAAAUGAUAUUCGGUCGGUGCAAAAGGUGCACUUUCCAAGGUUUCCAAACAAACGUGCAUCACGUAGAGCAAUAAAAACAUCACGUAAAUGUUCCAAAUGUUCCUCCAAAGAUUUGCUAUAAAUCAAUAUGUCAUCGAAGUAAACUACCACAAAUCGUCCAAUGAAAGCACGUAAAACUUCGUUCAUUAACCUCAUGAAAGUACUAGGUGCAAAGGCUCAGAUUGGUUGGGAUAUGAUGAACUAACCCUAAUUUUUUUUGGCUUUUUCGUGGACUGUAGGUAUGAAGAACAGACUCGAUCUAAUCUAUGAAAAACUAUAAAAUCUCACCGAGCAACCUGGAAAUCUGAUACCACUUGAUAGAGGCUAAGGUGUCCCGAUGUUUCGAUGAGAUGGUGGCUAUCGUUUUCUGUGGGAGUCGACCUUGACGAUCCGACUACGAACGUGCGAGAUGUCGCGCCUUAGCAAUCGCUAAACCAACUUCCGAGGGUUAUUGACCACGUCGGAGCACGAUCAACCUGACCACGAGGGUCUGUUUCCUGUGAGCAAACGAAGAACAAGCAAGAAACUGAGAUUGCAAUCGAGAUAUUGCGAAUAUGAGAUGAAAGCUUUAUUGAUCUAGGUGGGGUUCUGUGACGUCUUGGUCUGGUCGUUGGACACAAACGAAGUACGCGAAGUUGCAGCUAUGGCGAACUUUUAAUCUAAACAAAACCCGAAGUCUAAACGACGCCCUAAGGGCUGUAUAUAUGGAGGAAGAGGGGGGAAUUUCGUGGCCCUUGAGGGCGGGGUCCGAAACCAACCCUAACUCUUGUUUCCCCACACAUACGGACUCUAAAAAUAGCAUAUACUUAAGUAUUUAGAAAUUACAUGGGCCUGGCCCAUUAAUAAGGUGAAGCAACACCUAGAAUAGCCUAUGGACGAAUAUUAUGAAGUGGCAUCUUGUAUAUUUCGUCCAAGGCUUCAUGCACUCCUUAUGGCGGCUUCAAAGUCCUGAAAUCAUCACUUGUAACUCCGUUCUUGAUCCCCUUGGGCAUGCCAUCAACUCCAUGCGUGUUCUUGCUCCAAUGUUCAUCCUUCUCCAAGCUAGGCCCUUCAUUUGUAAGCAAAACAAAUGUAUCCAAUUUAGGCAGCAUCAUAAUCUCAUGAACAUUAGAAUCAUUACCAAGAAACGAAAGUACAUGGUAAUUUAAUUGGCGUGCACGAGCUCUAGUAAUUGGUCCAGUAUAUGUAACAGUAGGGGCUGUGGGUGUAACAAUGGUAUUUAUGUCCUCAUCAUCCUCCCCUUCUUGAAAUGAAGUCGUCCUCGACGGAAGCGCAUCUUCCUCACCCAAAUAAGGCUUCAAAUCUGCAAUGUUAAAAGUGGGACUAACCCCAAAAUCUACAGGUAGCUCAAGUUUAUAUGCAUUAUCAUUUAUUUUCUCUAACACCUUAAAAGAACCAUCAGCACGUGGCAUUAGCUUUAAUUUGCGCAGAUUAGGAAAUCUAUCUUUACGCAAAUGUAACCAAACAAGAUCUCCAGGCGCAAACACAACAUGUUUUCUACCCUUAUCUCCAGCAAGUUUAUAUUUAGCAUUCAUACGCUCAAUGUUUUCCUUAGUUAACUCAUGCAUUUUUAAAAUCAAUUCAGAACGUUCUUUAGCAUCAAAAUUAACCUUCUCUGAAGAUGGAAGAGGCAACAAAUCAAUAGGUGCACGAGGUAGGAAACCAUACACAAUUUCAAAAGGGCACAUCUUAGUAGUAGAAUGCAAUGAACGAUUAUAAGCAAAUUCAAUAUGAGGCAAGCAUUCUUCCCACAUUUUCUUGUUAUUCUUCAAAACAGCCCUAAGCAUAGUAGACAAUGUUCUAUUGACUACUUCAGUUUGUCCAUCAGUUCGGGGGUGACAAGUAGUACUAAAAAGCAGCUUAGUCCCCAACUUAGCCCAUAAACAUCUCCAAAAGUGGCUAAGAAAUUUAGUAUCAUGAUCUGAAACAAUAGUAUUUGGCACACCAUGUAAGCGAAUAAUUUCACGAAAGAACAAAUCAGCAACAUUAACAGCAUCAUCGCUUUUAUGACAUGGUAUAAAGUGUGCCAUUUUCAAGAACCUAUCCAUGACAACAAAUAUGCUAUCCCUCCCCUUCUUUGUUCGAGGUAAACCUAAAACAAAGUCCAUAGAUAUAUCCUCCCAAGGAACACUAGGUACAGGCAAAGGCAUAUAUAAACCAUGAGGAUUGAGUCGUGACUUAGCUCUUUGACAUGUAGUGCAGCGAGCAACAAAACGCUCAACAUCCCGACUGUACCUGGUAAUUUAAUUGGCGUGCGCGAGCUCUAGUAAUUGGUCCAGUAUAUGUAACAGUAGGGGCUGUGGGUGUAACAAUGGUAUUGAUGUCCUCAUCACUCCUCCUCCCCGCCGUGCACUACUCUGGUGCCGGCGUCCACCUUCUCGUCACUAGCCGCUCCGGCUACGGCGGCCACCCUCCCGCUCCGGCAACGGUGGCGACCCAUCCUCUGCGCUAGCUCUCCCUCCGUUGAGGUCGCCACAUCUGCGCUCCACUGCGGCCAGUCCGCGUUCCGUCUCCUCCUCGUGCCAUGGGGAACACCCCGUGGUCUCCGGCCUCGGCCUCUCGCCGGCGUCCGAGAGCUCGGCCGCGGCGGAGGCGUCUGUGGGGGCGACGGUGGAGGCCCUCUUGGCGGCGUCUUCUCGGCGCAUCGUGCCAUGGAAGGAGGCCCCAGUCUCAAAGCAUACCCUCUAGAAGCGUCGCAGGGAGGCCGGGAAGCCGGAGGUGGCCCCGCGCCAUGCCUCACCGGGCCGCAAAGAGGUCUCGCCGGAGAUGAGGGAUUGGUGUGUUGGGGAACGCAGUAUUUCAAAAAAUUUCCUACGAUCACACAAGAUCUAUCUAGGAGAUGCAUAGCAACGAGAGGGGAGAGUGUGUCCACAUACCCUCGUAAACCGAAAGCGGAAGCGUUUAGUAACGCGGUUGAUGUAGUCGAACGUCUUCACGAUCCAACUGAUCCAAGCACCGAACGUAUGGCACCUCUGUGUUCAGCACACGUUCAACAUGAUGACGUCCCUCAAGCUCUUGAUACAGUUGAGGAUGAGGGAGAGUUCCGUCAGCACGAUGGCGUGGUGAUGGUGAUGAUGAAGUUACUGACGCAGGGCUUCACCUAAGCGCUACGAAGAUAUGACCGAGGUAUUAAACUGUGGAGGGGGCACCGCACACGGCUAAGACAAUUGAUCUUGUGUGUUCUAGGGUGCCCCUACCUUCAUAUAUAAAGGAGGAGAGGGGGAGGCCGGCCGGCCCGUGUAGGGCACGCCAAGAGAGAGGAGUCCUACUAGGACUCCAAGUCCUAGUAGGAUUCCACUUGGUGGAAGGGGAAAGAAGGAAGGGAGAGGGAGACGGAGAGGGAAAAGGGGGGCCGCCCCCCUCCCCUAGUCCUAUUCGGACUCCCCAUGGGGGGGCACCACCUCCUCAUGGCCUGUCCUGUCUCUUCCCUAAGGCCCAUGUUGGCCCAUUACUUCCCCGAGGGGUUCCGGUAACUCCUCCCACACUCCGUUUUUACCCGGUACCUCUCGGAAGAUGUCUCAACCAUUUCGAGACUCCUCGUCAUGUUCGUGAUCUCAUCCGGGACUCCGAACAAACUUCGGUCAUCAAAUCACAUAACUCAUAAUACAAAUCGUCAUCGAACGUUAAGCGUGCGGACCCUACGGGUUCGAGAACUAUGAAGACAUGACCGAGACACAUCUCCGGUCAAUAACCAACAGCGGAACCUGGAUGCUCAUAUUGGCUCCUACAUAUUCUACGAAUACUAAGAAGACUAGGCCCGUAAGGGUUCGAUUUACCUAGGUUUUUUGGAAUUUUUUUCACGGUAGCUGUAAAAAUUACGCGUGUGACGGAAGUGCUUCAUUCCCUUCAUUUGCCACCUUUGCUAUCCCCACUGUGUGGACUUGACACAUGUGACCCAUGGUAGAACCUUCGAUCAUAUCUCUUUUUUCAUCUUGGGCCUGUAGCGUUUUUCACGUGUGUUUUCUUAAGCGGUUUGCAUUUUGACUGGGCCUUCUAGGCUGUACAUGUCCUGCGCUGCGAUUUUGUAGAAUUUUUCUUGUCUCUCUCGAAGCCUCGAGUCCAAUCCUGUGACACCGCUACGCCGCCCUUUCCCGAUAUAAAUGGGCAUCAGGCUGACUCUUGCCUCAUCUCUCGGUUCCCCCUCUCGCCGCAUCCCCACCCCCUUCUCUUCUUUGUGGAUGCGCCCGCCCAGGCCGCCGGUGACCCUCACCAUCAAAGCCCUCCCCCACGUCAUCGUCGGAGGGAGUUGUCGCUUUGGCUAGGCUAGGGUCGUUGCCGAGGUGUGGAGGCGCCCCAAUUCCCCAUCUCUCCGCCUCAGUGAUGGAGAGGUGUGAGAUGGAUGUGGGGAGGAGCGGGCAUGGUGCAGUGGCUGAAGGAGGCGUUGGCGUGGUGGCAGCGUCGGUAGCGGUUGGAGGCGACCACGGGCAUCCAGUCGUCACGGCAGGGCCGCAGGGGGCGAUGUGGCUGCUCGAGGUCCGGUUCAUCUUGGAUGUCACGGAGGUAACCCAAGUUGUGAAAGUAUAGAAUAACGACGAGACAAUGCAUCAGCAGUAACAUUUUCUUUACCCUUCUUGUGUUUAAUGACAUAAGGGAAAGUCUCAAUGAACUCAACCCAUUUAGCAUGUCUACGGUUCAGUUUUGCUUGACAUUUAAUGUGUUUUAAAGAUUGAUGAUCAAAAUGUAUAACAAAUUCUUUGGGCCAUAAAUAAUGUUGCCAUGUUUCUAAGGUCUGAACAAGAGCAUAUAAUUCUUUAUCAUAAGUAGAAUAGUUCAAACUAGGCCCACUCAUUUUUUCAAAAAAGUAUGUAAUAGGUUUUCCAUCUUGUAAUAACACACCUCCUAAUCCAAUUCCACUAGCAUCACAUUCAAGCUCAAAAGUCUUAGUAAAAUCAGGAAGUUGGAGUAAAGGAGCAUGUGUCAACUUAUCUUUCAAUACCGUGAAGGCUUCUUCCUGUGCGGUACCCCAAACAAAAGGCACAUCCUUCUUUGCAAGCUCAUUGAGAGGAGCAGCAAUGGUGCUGAAAUCUCUCACAAAAUGCCUAUAGAAACCAGCGAGUCCAAGAAAACUCCUCACUUGUGUGACCAUUUUGGGCUGCGGCCAACUCUCAAUAGCUUUAAUCUUGGCUUUAUCAACUUCAAUUCCCUGUGGAGUAACAACAUAGCCAAGAAAAGAUACUCGAUCGGUGCAAAAGGUGCACUUCCCAAGGUUACCAAACAAAUGUGCAUCACGUAAAGCAAAAAAAAGCACGUAAAUGCUCCAAAUAUUUCUCCAAAGAUCUGCUAUAAAUCAGUAUAUCAUCAAAAUAGACUACCACAAAUCGUCCAAUGAAAGCACAUAAAACUUCGUUCAUUAAUCUCAUGAAAGUACUAGGUGCAUUAGUUAACCCAAAAGGCAUGACUAACCACUCAUAUAAUCCAAACUUAGUUUUAAAUGUUGUUUUCCAUUCAUCCUCCAAUUUCAUACAAAUUUGAUGGUAUCCACUAUGCAAAUCAACUUUGGAGAAUAUUAUAGAGCCACUCAACUCAUCAAGCAUAUCAUCUAGCCUAGGAAUAGGGUGACGAUAACGAAUAGUAACAUUAUUAAUACAAUCAACACACAUACGCGAUGUACCAUCCUUUUUCGGCACUAGAAUAAUAGGAACAACACAAGGUGAUGCGGAGCAUCCCUCGACCAUCACCAUGGAUGUCACACCACCACCGCAAGCACGGAGACAACCAAUGAUGAGAGUUUGCGCACUCGCCGUCGAAACCGAGGUUAACUCUUUCCUUUUCAAGUUUCUUUCGGAUUCACACGAGAGUCGGAUUCUACCUCAAACAGAAACUCUAUGCACUCUUAGGUACCAAGAAGAAGACCGUGAAGAGGCGAGGACGGAGACGCAAGCACCUAUGGAGGAGGAGACGGAAGAAGGACGCUCGAGACGCAAAGCAAAGGAGGCGCCGGACUACCCCGGGUGCCCGGCCACCUCCUAUAGCCGACUGGGAGAGCCCCUGGCCGCCCCGGGUGCCCGGCCCCCUGCCUGGGCGCUGCCCCGCCACCCACGGGUGCCCUGCUUCCUCCUGGGCUCGGUCCCAGCCCGCACAGGGUGCCCGGGCCAUCAACCCCCGGGUGCCCGCCCCCCUACAGCCACCCCUCGGGCGGUGGCCCUGACCGGUCCGGGUGCCCGGCCAGUUUCACCCCGGGUGCCCGGACCCUUCCGCGUGCCUGCGCGCACUUUUGGGUUUGGACCCUUGUAUCCCUCUCUCUGUCACAAUUCGUCCCUAGACUAUAUAAACACCUCCCCUAGCUCAUUAGAAAGAGAGAAAAGUAUAUGAGAGACAUUAGUGAGCUUUGCUCCUUGUACCUCCUCUUCUCAGAGAGAGACCUCUCCCAUGGAGAUCAAGAGCUCCUAUGGAGAAGAUCCCUAGUGGAUUCAAGCCCCAUCUAGGGAAAGAUCCCCAUCAUAGGAUUAUCAAGACCUCUCUCCUCAUAGGAUUGGGGUGAACUAGUUACUUUGUAUCUUUUCUUUGUUGUCCUUGAAUCAUUGUGACCUCUUGUGUGUUCUUGGAUCUAGAAUAUGUGUGAUUGGAUCUAGUCAAUUUGAGUGUUUCCCCUCUCUUGUGUUCUUCGUGUUCUUGGGGAUUUCCCUUCCAAUUCGUGAAAGAUCUCCCUCCAGGGUUCCACCGUACAACAUCUUGGUAUCAUGAACCAUGGUUUCUCACAAAAUUGGAGCCCCCUUCUUGUUCUCUGGCCUAAUUUGUUGUGUUCUUCCCCAAUUUCGAAAAUUCCCCACCAAAAAUAACCCCAAUUUUUUUGUGAUUUAUUGGUUUGAUGAGGUUUUGUUGGAUUUGAUCCAUGGAUUUGCUUGGUUUCAAGUGGAUCUAGCCUCCCCCCAUCCAUCUCCACCUUUCCCUCCACGAAAUCCACCAAUUUCUCCCAUUUUGCCACAACUUUCCGCCAAAUCCGACACCCCCGGGCACCCAGAUCUCACACCCCGGGGACCCGGACCCCCGACCAUCCCCGCUGACCACCCUGGGUGCCCGCACCCGUUACCCCCGGGCACCCGGACCCCUGGGCCACUUCUUCCACCCAACCCUGCUGACCACCCCGGGUGCCCGCACCUCCAACCCCCGGGCACCCGCACCCCCCGAAUCAGCCCACCAACAAAAACCGUUUCGGCCAUAACUUUCGCUCCCGGAGUCCGAUUUGAUGUUCUUUAGCUCGUUGAGUAGCUAUUGAAAUCCCCCUUCCAUAUACAUAGGUUCCAACACCAUUUUACUCCAUCAAAAUUUUGGCAUUUUUGUAUCUUUGCAUAGGCCAUCCACCAUAUCAUCCGCCAAACCACCAUAGCUUUCCGCACCUAACCCAUUUUUGCUCCAUAUAGCAUUUGUGGUUGCUUGAGUGGUGACUUGAGUCUCCUAAGGUGUUUCGGCUAAUUAGGGACGGUAGCUUCAUCAUCAACCACCACCACCACUUCCGCAUUGCUAACUCCGGAACCACCUACACAUUCCGCUACCACCAUUUGACAUUUUCCUUUGAGAUUUUGAGUUUGCGGUUUUUCCAUUUCCUAGGGUGUUUCGGCUAACUAGGAACGGUUUGACUUCAACAACACUGUCGCUCACCUUCAACAAGGACUCGACAUCGAGCACUUCACCAUUUUCACACCCUAACCGUAAGCAAGAACGACAACCUCUAUAUCAUCUUGGUAUCAUGGUAUCCCAUCAUUGUACAUUCUUGCCAUUACAUUGUUAACCCCUUAGCCCAUUUUGCGUCACUUGCCUAUCGAGACUAGCCAAUGAGUAUCGCCGGCAACGUUACUUGUGCACAUUAGUGAUCUGUACCUUCAAUUGCAUACAUACCAUAUAAUAUUGGUAUCUUCUUGGUAUCUUAUCAUCUCUUGUGUCACAAGAUUGUUCUCGCAUAUACAGAAUUGCUAUCUUGGUUUGUGAAUUUUGCAUAGUGGCCAUAUAAAAAAAGAAUAAGCUUUUAAGCAAAAAGGAAAAGAGAGCCAAGAGCUUGUGAGCGAGAGCCAUAGCAUCAUACCACAUUGCACAUAAGAUUGUCAUAUCCGAUCAUCUUGGAUCAUCUUGAGAAGAACACCGGGAACAUCAUACAUAUAUAACAUACUUGGAUAGAAAGUUGAUAUAUUUUGCAUCUUAUAGGUUGUGUACAAGUGUCGUAUCCGCCUAUUGAGCAAUCGUGCUAGUGUCUCUCUUGAGUUGUGCAACACAAGCAUUUUCCGUGGAUUCCACAUUUUGUGCUCAUUCCUUGGUUGCACGACCCCAUUUAUCUAUCCAUGUGUUUGUUUCCGUGUGCCACCCUUUGCUAUUUGUCUACUUGUUUCACUUGCGAAAUUGUGAAUCUUUUCCAACAUUAUUGACUCUUGCUAACAUUUUGCAUAAAUUUUUUGUGCCUCUAUCUGUCGGUGGGAACGACACCUAUGGGAUCACAAGAAUCCCUACUACGGUUAGCGGGGCACGGGGUCGUGAGAAGAGCGGAUCAAACAGAUAGCACACGGUUCGUUUAUCUAGGUUUGAGCCGCGAGGAUGCGUAAAACCCUACUCCUGCUUUGGUGGAUUGUAUAUCUGUGUUCUUGAGCUAGCUAUGGGGCGUGAGGAGCUCCAAAAAGCCGAAUCCUUCUCCUGGUCGCCUCGGGCUCCUUUUAUAGAAAAAGGGGUCGCCACAGUGGCACACAGGAGGUGGAAAGGAUACAGUGAUGUGAGGUUAUCCCUCGCAUUACAUGACAAGGCGCAUUUAAUGCGUCUUGCUUAGGUGUCCUUGCUUUAUCGGGGAUGGGGGCGAAGCCUAUCCCGUCCGUCGCCGCUCCUCCUCGCGUCGACACGCACCCUGGCCAGCGAUGCCGGUGGUGCCAUGUAGGCAGGCAGGCAGCUGAGGUGGCGCGGUGGUGGUGUCUUCAAGAAGAUUUGCAUGCCGCCACACAGGUGCCUGCCCAGUUGGUUGGGUCGGCAGCUGCACGCGAACGGCGGUGGAGACUUGGUUGGCGUGGGCCUGAUGGUGGUCUUGCGGGUGUACUCGGCAAGGGCCUUGCUGGGCCCGGCAAGGGUCUUGCCGAGGCGCCUGCUGUCAUCCCCGGCAAGGCGCUUGCCGGGGGCCUUAUGGUCUUCCUUGGUUGGGAUCCCGCCAAGGGUCGUCAUCUUCUAUAGUGCGUAUCUUAUCUUGAAUGUCUUCACAUAGAUCUGCAUGCCACCAUGGGGAUGUGUCCCGAAUCCUUGCCCCAUGGGGGCAGUGGACUCAAGGGUGAUCUGCUCCGUAGGUGUGGGGCGAGUUGCCGCGGCAAGGGUCUUGCCGAGGUUGCUAAAACUGUCUCCCAGCAAGGAUCUUGCGGGGGGAGUCUGCUUCGUCCCCUUUGCUCUUCGUGGUCUUGGCCUUGGCGUUGCUCCAGUUCUCUUGAGCUUCGGUCUUUCCCUGGCUCACCUCCCUUGCCUUGCUUGGUGUGGUGGUGCCCGUGGCUCAGACUGCCCGUGCACAGUUAUAGGGGUACAAAAAGUGUACCCCUCUUUUUGUACACCGACAGGAGCCCCCGGGCCUGGGCCACACAUAAGCGCAACGCGUUGUUGGGCUAGGCCCAAAAACGGUGCGUGGGAAGGCGGGGCAGUUUUUACCACGAUAAUAUUCUUCGCACGCUGCGCUUCCCACGACUCCCGCGGGUGGCGCGGCGUGGGGAGGCGUGUGUGACGUGGGCGGCAUGCGUGGGGUUGGUCUCAGCACGCAUGCGUCAUGUCACAGUUAAUGUGAAAGGAGGCGGCCCGCGUUUUUCCCCAUAAGAAGGAAUAACCGUGGGCGCGCUGCUCACUUUCUCCUCUUUCCUCGUGCCUUCUCCAAUCUCAGAGCCGCCGUUUCCUCUCUUCCUUCCUUCCUUCCUAAGCUUCCGUCGUCGCCUACCGUCGUUGCUUCGCCAUCCCCCUCCCUCAGUCCUCCAACUUUCUUAGCCGCCAUGGCGCCCAAAUCCGCCAAGGGCAAGGGGGUGGCUAAGGGCGCCGGGACUGUUAAGCCGCCGGAGAGUGCGCUAUCGGGGGACCGGACGAAAUCCGCCUUCUUCUUCCCCUCGACGGUUGAUGUUCGUGAGCUCCGGGCCUCCUUCAGGCCUCUAUGGGGAGUGAAGAUGGGGGGAGAGAAUUCAGGACAUCUGGCGACGCGCGUCAUUCCUGCCGCUUGCGCCGAUCCUGCCCCAAAUCGGUAUCCCUUUUUCAUCGAUUACCUUUCUUGCGGGUUAUGCCCCCCUUUUCCGAUUUCUUCUGUGACAUUAUGCACACCUUCGGUUUUCGCCUCUUGGAUUUUACUCCGAAUGCGGUGGCGUGCAUGGCUUUCUUCGCGCAUCUUUGCGAAGGCUUUGCCGGGGUGCAGCCGAACACGACACUCUUCCACCAUUAUUUCUCCCCUCGGAUCCAACCGGGAGGUGCCGUCUCUGGUUGUGUCACCUGGAUCCCAAGAUCCAAGGGGGCGUACCCGGACAGUGCCGUGAAGGAGAGGUGGGAGGAAUGGCGUGGCCGGUGGUGCUGGAUUGAAGAUGAAGACCCGCUGGAAUUCUGCAAGGUCCGCUGAGUGCCACCGGUCUGCGGCAGCGAUUGGAGCGAUGUUGACGCCGCCGACGGGAGGCUCACUGUCUCUACCACCAGGAUUCUCUGGCUGACCCGGGCUGGACUCACCCUUGAAAUGAUCGGGGCGGACUUCAUUCGCCGCCGGAUCGCCCCGUUGCAUAACAAGGGGAGGCCAGCCUGGCUCUUUACGAAUCCGGCUGACAUCAUGCGACUCCGCCCUGGUCUCGACCAUAAUUUCACGGUGAUGGCGCAUGUCCACUUCUGCCAGUGGCUUUUUCAGCUUGAUGUGGGUCGUGAUGGCGAGGUCGAACGGACCGGCAAGGUCGCGAGGGCUGCCGCAAAGGUCGGCAAGGCCAUCAAGGGGCCGUUUUUCAAGUUGCCAGUGGGGGUGGUCCCGUUGUGCAAUAAUUCACGUCGGUCCGAGAUCAUCGCUAUGAUGCCGGACUGUAACACGCACGACCCUGUCCCGAGCUGGAAGGAGCCGAAGGAUGCUGAUGUGCAGCAAUUCUUCGACACCUUGAUCGAGGUAUAUGUCAAUGCUGACGCCGAGCGGUGGCUUGUCAUGGACACAACCCAGGCAGAGCUGGACUACAUCGCCACUAGGGCGAGGGAGGCACAGCUUGCCAUGGAGGCCGGCAGCACUGGGGGUGUGGAGGACAAGGCCGCAACGGCUGCGGAGGAAGAGGAGCUCACCCGGUGGGCGGCGGCCUCCAGGGAGGUUAGCAGCACCGACACGGGAGCUCUGCUUGUCGAAGAUGCGGCCAACGAGUCGUCGGGGGAGGAGGAUGUGGCGGCGGGCUCAACGCCAGCCAGGGGAAGAGGGCGAGUCCUGUGGCGGUCUGGCUCCGGCGAGCCGGUCCGGCCUGGCAGGGCCACGCGGCCUCAAUUGACCCUGGAGGGGUCCGGGCGUCACACGAGGGCCACAACAGCGAAGAGGCUGACGAAGGCCGCUGAGAAGAAGAAGGCAACAGUCCCUUCCUCAUCUGGGCGUGCACAAACUCCGCCUUCUUCGCCUCCUCUGGCAGAUGUCGACUCGGAUGUUGACGCGGAGGUCCCUUUUGAUCUUGGGCCUCUCAGCCCGAAGAGGAAAAGGAAAGUGGUGGAAGAAGAGGAGAUGGAUGACGAGUAAGUACUCCGUUUCUUACUGCCAUUUCCAUUUCCCCAAAUUAAGUCACUCAUGUUGAUCCGUUUUUGCUUUUGCAGGGAUGCAGAGACGUUGGCCCAGAGGGUGAAGAGGGCGAAGGCCUCGGCGAGCAGUCAGCCCUCGGCUGGGGCUUCAAAGACACCACUGGUGUUGUUGAGCAGCCCGGACAGCAGCCCCCGGCAUAGCCCCCAGCGUAAGUUCGUUACCCUCCUCUUAUUUGACAUGUGGUAGGCGUUCGAUGCUAUGGUGUUGACCUUAUCGUGUUUGUAGGAGGGGAGCAGCAGCAGGAGGAGCCGCGGAGGGCUACCCCCAACACACCACCCCCAUCGACUACGCCGCCGCGAGGGGCGUCCCCGGCAAGGGCAUCAAGCACGGAGCCCACACCCAUGGAGGAACAGGGGAACUUGGGCGCUGGUGACUCUGCCACGGCGCCAAAUGCUGGCGGGGAGGGGACUUCUGCUUCACAGCCUGGCACUGGUGAGUCUCCUGUCCUCCGUCUCUGUUUUUCCCUUAUUCUUUUUCUUGGCUUCAUUGCUCCCAUUACUGCCCAGGCCCUCCUUCAACAGAUAUGGAGGGCGUGGACACUGUUGUUGGGAAUAUUGCUGAGGAGGCCGCGGCGGAGGCCGACAGGAUUGCCGCCGAGGAGGCCGCCAAGGAUGCUGACGAGGUCGCCGCCGAUGAGGCUGCCAAGGAUGUCGCUGAGGAGACCGCUGCGGGGGCCGCCAAGGCGACUGGCGAGGCUUCUGCCGAGGGUGCCAGCGGUGGGCCUGCCGGGGAAGCCGGCAAGGCCUCUGCCAAGGAAGAGGUGGUUGAUGAUCAGCCUCCCUCCUCCUCAACCUCGGGCCCCGGCAGAUAUCUGAAGGUGGGCGACGAUCUUUUCGUCCAUCUUCCAGGGGCGUCAAGUUCCCGAGCGCCCACCGAAGGGGAAGUCUUUGACGGCGAGGUGCUUGCCGCCACCGGGCUCGAGGUGGUCAAUGAGCCGGGCGUUGGCGGCGAUGGUUCUCCACAAGAGCAGCUUUUCCGUGCCAUGGGGGCCAAUUUCUGGAAGCUCCAAGUGCUCUACCGUGCUCGCCUAGACAAGGUCAAGUCCAGGAUGGCAACGGUGGACAAGGCGGAGGUGGACUUCAAGGCGCGCGUUGCUGAGAUGCAGACCUGGUUUCACCAGACUCGCGAGGAGCAGAGGGCCUUUCAGGAGGAAUUGGCCAAGCGCGAUGUAGAGCUCACCAUGAAGAUGGCUGACAUCAAGAAGGCCCAGGAAAAGGCAGCGAACUUGGCUGCCGCGGCCGAGGCCGCCCGGAACCAGCAUCAAGCCGCAUUGGAUUCCCAGGAAGAGGACCUCUCCGUGCGUGAAGCGAAGCUUGCCGCAACGCUCCGCGGCAAGGAUGAGGAGCUCGAGGCCCUUGUCGUGCGACGGACUCGCGAGCUGGAGCAGAGGCACAAAGAGGCACUCGAUGCCCAAGCUCUGGCCCAUGCCGGCAAGGUGAAGGAGUUGGAGCUAGAGCGGGACGAGCUGAAGGAGCAGGCCCUCAAGCUGUCCAACGAGAAGAGCACGCUCAACAGCGCCUUGGUAGAGGCGCAAGGAGCGGUCAUCAGCAGGGCUGGGGAGCUCUCCGAAGCGCAAAACUCCAUCAGAGAUCUCAAGCUGAAGCUGGAGAAUCUCGAGAAGAUGUUGUCGGAGAGCACGGCUUGGGAGGAGACCUUGACCAGGAGCCUGGAGGAGGAGAAGCAGCUGCGGGCGAACGAGGCCGCCUCCCACCAGGAAUAUGUGGCGGGCGAGAACAGAUGGAUCAGCCGUCUAGAGGACGUCCCCGGCAGGGUCACCUCGCAGUUGGCCACCAUGGGGAUGCCAAACGUGAGGUAUGCCCCUGAGCGCAGCGGGACCGUCAACGCCAAGCUGACCCAGUUCUUCGAGGGCGUCCUCGGAGCCUUGGCUUAUCUCCACUCCAGCAGAGCGGCCACGUCGGCCGGGGAGGCCCGGCGACUUUGCCGGAGGGUCGUGACCAAGGUCCUCACCAAGAUGGCAUACUGGAAUCCCGACCUUGACUUCGAAGGCGCGAUGGAUAGCUUGCUGGAUGGUACUGACCUCACGGUGCUCAAGGAGCGCAUCAAGCCCAUCAUCGACUGCAUCGACGAAAUCAAGAGGGUGGAAGGCCAGCGCCGGGAUUAGGCAUCCCGUUCUUCUUCGCCGCUGCAGGUUCCCGGCCAAGACAAAUUUUAUCUUUAGUUAGAACCGCAGCAAUGAUGUGAUGUAACAUAACUUUGAAGUACUUUUGGGAUUAUGCAUGCUAUUUCCCUGUUUGUUGCCUCUUUGUACGUCCACCCUACGCUAGCUGGGUAGGCUUGCCGACACGGAAACCCAGGGCGGCGUUUUGGGGACGGGUCCCCAUUGGCCUGCCGGGCGAACGUGUUGUCGGGUGAGCCACCUUACCACCCUUAACGCAGCCGCUCGAACUGUCGAGUUUGACUCGAGUCAGAGUCGAGAGCCUUGCCAAUUGCGGAAGGCUACCCUACCGUUUCCAACGCAGCCAUUUGAACUGUUGAGCGGACUCGAAACAGAACAAAGGCAUUGCCAAUCUGGGAGGGCCCCAUUUUCGUAUAGGUUUCUUUUUGUACAAAGAACGAUAGCUCCGAGGAUAAUAACUUUAUAUAAUAGAAUGGAAAUAUCCGGGGUUUAAUGUGACUUAGCUCCUGUUUGUAGUCGCUCGAGUGCUGAUCUUCCGGCCUCCUUCCUUCUCCAAGAGCCACGCAGACGAAGGAGUGCUGGGCUAAUUGCUAGAGCCGAUUCUCACAACUGUGCCCCAUACCUGGCGCGCCAAAGAUGUCGGUGGGAACGACACCUAUGGGAUCACAAGAAUCCCUACUACGGUUAGCGGGGUGCGGGAUCGUGAGAAGAGCGGAUCAAACAAAUAGCACACGGUUCGUUUAUCUAGGUUCGGGCCGCGAGGAUGCGUAAAACCCUACUCCUGCUUUGGUGGAUUGUAUAUCUGUGUUCUUGAGCUAGCUAUGGGGCGUGAGGAGCUCCAAAAAGCCGAAUCCCUCUCCUGGCAGCCUCGGGCCUCCUUUUAUAGAAAAGGGGUCGCCACAGUGGCACACAGGAGGUGGAAAGGAUACAGUGAUGCGAGGUUAUCCCUCGCAUUACAUGACAAGGCGCAUUUAAUGCGUCUUGCUUAGGUGUCCUUGCUUUAUCGGGGACGGGGGCGAAGCCUGUCCCGUCCGUUGCUGCUCCUCCUCGCGUCGACACGCGCCCUGGCCAGCGAUGCCCGCGGUGCCAUGUAGGCAGGCAGGCAGCUGAGGUGGCGCAGUGGUGGUGUCUUCACGAAGAUUUGCAUGCCGCCACGCAGGUGCCUGCCUAGUUGGUUGGGUCGGCAGCUGUACGCGAACGGUGGCGGAGACUUGGUUGGCGUGGGCCUGAUGGUGGUCCUGCGGGUGUCCUCUGCAAUGGCCUUGCCGGGGCCCCGACAAGGGUCUUGCCGAGGCGCCUGCUGUCAUCCCCGGCAAGGCGUUUGCCGGGGGCCUUGUGGUCUUCCUUGGUUGGGAUCCCGCCAAGGGUCGUCAUCUUCUAUAGUGCGUAUCUUAUCUUGAAUGUCUUCACAAAGAUCUGCAUGCCACCAUGGGGAUGUCUCCCGAAUCCUUGCCCCAUGGGGGCAGUGAACUCAAGGGUGAUUUGCUCCGUAGGUGUGGGGUGAGUUGCCGCGGCAAGGGUCUUGCCAGGGUUGCUAAAACUGUCUCCCGGCAAGGAUCUUGCUGGGGGAGUCCGCUUCGUCCCCUUUGCUCUUCGUGGUCUUGGCCUUGGCAUUGCUCCAGUUCUCUUGAGCUCCGGUCUUUCCCUGGCUCACCUCCCUUGCCUUGCUUGGUGUGGUGGUGCCCGUGGCUUAGACUGCCCGUGCAUAGUUAUAGGGGUACAAAAAGUGUACCCCUCUUUUUGUACACCGACACUAUCCUCACCGAGCUCCACCAUAAGCCUUACUUGUGCUGGUGUGAGAACUGACAAGAUCCGGUACCAAUUGUGCUAUUUCCUUGAUACAUUAUUGAGUGAUCAUUGAUCCAUCUUCAACAUUUGAAAGGUACAUUUGGUCUAGUUCUUUCCUUUCUUCCACUUACAUGUGCUCGAGUCUUGUGAUGGAUAGGCAAGGCAUUUCAUUUCUGGUCUUCCACGACAACGACGGCGCGAACAACUGCAGCACCAAAACGUCCAUCUUUGGACUACAACAAGCAAUGUGAGGCAUUGAGUGACUCACCGUCGACAUUCACCAAAGUGAAGCAUGGACAAGGGACUACAUCGACACCAAAUCGGAUGCACAAUUGGAUGACAUCCGACACGUGUGGGCCAACUACAAGUCUUCUUCCUCUUCGUCAUCUUCAAGGCAGAGACGCUCCAGUCGCAAGUCUUCGGAAUGGCCACACGAUGAGAGUACCAUGCGGCACCGUCAUCAUCUUCGAGACGACCGCCGAGACGACUGCAAGCCCAAGGUGUAUGGCAACGAAGAGCGCCAUCGACUACAACAACACCGUCACCACCGAGAGGAAGCUACGGCUACUACCACAACUUCGGCAUCUUCGCCAAGUGUUAUCAAGGCAUCUUUGCCUUUGGACGUACGACAUCUUCGCCUACCUCCGACGAGUACGCCUACAUCAGCCUUCAUCCACGACGAUGGUGACGAGAUGAUCGAGCAUGGAAUUUUCCCUUUGGUCACGGAGGAGAGUGAUGAGGUGACAUCUUCGGCCUUCAUCCACGGCGACGACGACGACAUGGUUGAGAAUGGGAUCUUCCCUUCGACCACGGUGACGUAUGAUGACUUGAGUGACUUUUGCCACCAUAUUGAGAGUGAGAGUGACUUCACCACUAGCCCCAUAUAUGAUGAGCUGCCCCAAUUCCCAUGUGAGGAGAGCCACCACCACCACCGCUUGAGUGAUUUGAGUGACUCCACCAUAUGUGACAUUGAAUGCACCUACCUUGAGAGAGUGAGUGAACCACCACCACAUAGAGAGAGUGAGGUAGUUGAUAGGGCAUGUGUGGCCAUUUCAAUUUCUAAUAACUUAACCUCUACCUCUAUUGUGUCUUCUCAUUUGGGGCUAGGUCCCAUAUAUGAUGACGCGCCGAUUCGCGACGACUUCGUCCUUCCUUUGGACAAGACGAUGGCCAUGGUGGAAUAUGAUGCACCCCCCACAUGGUUCCAUCACGAUGAAGAUGACCACCAUUUGGUCUUUGCCACCUCACCUACACCACAUGAACGGAUUGAGAAUGGUAAAAUAGGUGAAGGUGAUGCUCUAGUUCCACUUGUGGACAUUCUUGACAUUGAUUGCUUGCAUGAUGUUGAUCCAGCUAUUACCAUGCUUCGUGCUAGUGUGACUUCCCCAUGCGAUGAUUUACCCAUUUAUGAUGAGUUUGAUGAUUGCCAUGUGGAGUUUAUUAGUUGUGAUGCCAUGUUACAUAGGAUUUCUUGUGAUAAUUCUCUCGGUCACAUCAUGUUUGACAAUCCGCUUGACUUGUCAUAUGCUAUGCAUGAGAUCAACCAUAUGUCAUAUUUGCAAUCUCUUCAUAGUGACUAUGCAUAUGCCAUUAAAAUUAACCCAAUUUGCACAUAUGGCAUAGAUGACAAGCCAAUGGUUAUUGGCAUUUGUUUUUCUUGUGAUGAUAUUGAUAUGCUUCCUUUGCAUCAUUUAUCUCAUAUGCCAUGCCAUGACCACCUAGAUUCGAAUAUGCAUUGUUUUGGAUGUUGUCCAUUUUCUCCAUAUGAUGUGUCCAACAUUUCUCAUGAGGAGACCCCCACAGUUUCCUCAUACAUAUUAGGAAUUUUUGAUGCAUUCCAUACUUUGCAUGAUUCCCAUGAUUGCGUGCACCAUAUGCAUUCCAUGAAUAACAAUGCUCUAAAUAUUUCUUACGAUACAUUAAAAAAUUUGAGUCUCCAUUAUACUAUACGUAACAACAAACCUCUCAUGAUGGAUGACAUGUUUCUAUAUCACACAUCUCAUUUAUUUGAGCAUUGGAUAUUUCGUGCUAACUAACACAUGCACGUACGCAUCAUAAUGGAUGAUGUGUACAUCUAUCACGCGCACACAAUUUUUCCUUUGUAUUUGUUUUGUGUAGGUACCCAUGAAUACUUGUCAACCUUGAAAUCCCACGAGUUGACAAAACGAGCUCUAGAGAGCAAUGAUGACUUCGGAUCCCAUGGAUUGUCUUUCCCACCGCUCUCUUCACGCAAAGACUUCACGCAUUUCUUCUACAUGGCCCUCACUUGGCUAUGGGUUAUUGUCCAUUACAUAUUAUAUGCCCAUCUUGCCAUGUUCACUUUGCAUGACAUGCUUAUUCAUAUGCCUUUACCAUGCAUUUGUGACCCAUGCUUUGCAUUACACAUGAUGAUUGAUUCUACUACUUGUAUGUGUAUUUGCAAGCUUGGUGGAGACAUUGCUUUUUCUUGCCACGUUUCCUUUGUGAUCCAUUCCUAUGAUGAUACAUUGAUCUUGCUUUGUAAUCGUGCUUGUGGUAUGUCAUGUGCAUUGCCUAUGCCUAUUAUUUGCUCACACGAGAUGAUUGUCAUGAUUUCCUCUCGUAUGUUGCAUCUUCGCACUACUAGCUUACACGACUUGCUUCCUAUGAUUGCUUGCCUUGUCGCAUCACCGAUGAUUCAUACUUGUUCUUUUCAUGCGGUUGAUAGCCACUAUUGCCAUGCUAUAUUCACUACACCCCAUGCACGUUACGCUCGGAUUGUCGUGCACUUUAGACACUUCAUUUUUUUGGUGUUGUGAAUGCUUCAUAUGCAUACCAUAGACCAUUUAUUGAACGCCUUAUGCAUGAUUUCUAUGAGCUUGAGGUAGAUGCUUAUUUUCUUGUCACACAUAUUUGCAUCGCUACCUCACUUUUACAUGCUUGUUUCCAUGAUGUCCUUGAUUUUGCUCCAUUUAUGUGCUUACAUGACAUGUCACAAUCCCUUGUCACAUCAUAUGCUAUGCUAGAUGACGACACUUGUUUGGUGAAUCACCUCUUGAAUGCUUGGUUUUGCACUAACGCUAACCACAUUUGUUUUUCCAAGUGUUUGUUGUACUUUCUCCUUUUGAAGGAAACACAAGACGGCGCGACAUUGGAGAAUGCCCAUUUCGAGCUUGAAGAUGUUGAGUACUUGGUGAUUGUCCACUUCUACACGGCGACGCCCUCUCUUUCCCAUGGUGAUGAAGAUCAUGAUCCAUGGACGGAUGUCCACCAAGGGGGGGGGGGAGAUGAUGCGGAGCAUCCCUCGACCAUCACCAUGGACGUCACACCACCACCACAAGCACGGAGAGUACCUAUGACGAGAGUUUGCGCACUCACCAUCGAAACCGAGGUUAACUCUUUCCUCUUCAAGUUUCUUUCGGAUUCACACGAGAGUCAGAUUCUACCUCAAACGGAAACUCAAUGCACUCUUAGGUACCAAGAAGAAGACCGUGGCGAGGAUGGAGACGCAAGCACCUAUGGAGGAGGAGACAGAAGAAGGACGCUUGAGACGCAAAGCAAAGGAGGCACCGGACUACCUCGGGUGCCCGGCCACCAGCAGCCCGGGUGCCUGGCCACCUCCUACAGCCAGUUGGGAGAGCCCCUAGCCGCCACGGGUGCCCGGCCCCCUGCCUGGGCGCUGCCCCCGCCACCCCGGGGUGCGCGGCCUCCUCCUGGGCUUGGCCCCAGCCUGCACCGGGUGCCGGGCCAUCAACCCCCGGGUGCCCGGCCCCCUACAGCCACCCCUCGAGCGGUGGCCCUGACCGGUCCGGGUGCGCGAACCCCUCCACGUGCCAGCAUGCACUUUUGGGUUUUGGACCCUUGUAUCCCCCUGUCUCUCACAAUUCGUCCCUAGACUAUAUAAACACCUCCCCUAGUUCAUUAGAAGGAGAGAAAAGUAUAUGAGAGACAUUAGUGAGCUUUGCUCCUUGUACCUCCUCUUGUGUGAGAGAGACCUCUCCCAUGGAGAUAAAUACCUCCUAUGGAGAAGAUCCCUAGUGGAUUCAAGCCCCCCAUCUAGGGAAAGAUCCCCAUCAUAGGAUCAUCAAGACCUCUCUCCUCAUAGGAUUGGGACGAAGUAGUUACCUUGUAUCUUUUCUUUGUUGUCCUUGAAUCAUUGUGACCUCUUGUGUGUUCUUGGAUCUAGCAUAUGUGUGAUUGGAUCUAGUCAAUUUGAGUGUUUCCCCUCUCUUGUGUUCUUCGUUUUCUUCGUGUUUUUGGGGAUUUCCCCUCCAAUUCGUGAAAGAUCUCCCUCUAGGGUUCCACCAUACAACACAAGGACUAAGGGAUUCGCGUAUAUAACCUUUGUCGAGCAGCUCCUGGACUUGACGCAUAAUCUCCUUCGUCUCCUUUGGAUUGGUACGGUAUGGUGCACGGUUGGGUAGCGAUGCACCGAGAAUUAAGUCAAUCCCUCUAAUAGGAGGUAAUCCUGGUUGCACGUCUUGUGGAAAGACGUCAGCGAACUCCUGCAAAAUGUUAGUAAUAGCAGGAGGCAAAGAGGAAGGCACGUCCUCAAAUGAAAAUAAUGCCUCUUUGCACACAAAUGCAUAGCAAACAGAUUUGCUAAAAUCUAGCUCAUCAAUAUCAGACUUGGUGGCGAGUAAACAUGCACUUUUCAAUUUAAUUUCAGAAGCAACACUAGAUGGUUUAUUAUUAGGCUUCAUUUGUUGCUCAAAUUCUUUUGCCACAAUCUGAUUUUCACUCUUAUUGUUCUCCUGUUUUGCUUUAUUAGCUCUAUUAAUAUCAUCUUUCAAAAUGGAAUCAGGAGACAUGGGAAGCAAAGUAAUAUGUUUAUCCUUAUGAACAAGAGUAUGUUGAUUGUUUCUACCAUGGUGUACAGAAUUUUUAUCAAAUUGCCAUGGUCUACCAAGUAAUAAGGAACACGCUUGCAUGGGUACCACAUCACAAUCAACAUAAGCAGCAUAUGUAGAGAUACUAAAAUGCACACGAACAGUACGUGUUACCUUAACCUUGCCGUUGUUGUUGAACCAGUGGAUGUAGUAAGGAUGUGGAUGUGGUCUUGUAGUGCGAGAUAGCUUCUCCACCAUCUCCAUGCUAAGCAAGUUUUUACAACUCCCUCCAUCUGGAUGACGUGAACAAAACGUUCCUUCACAACUCCCUUUGUAUGGAACAAAUUAUGCCUCUGAUUUUGCUCAGCUUGUGUAACCUGCACACUCAAAACACUUUGAGCAACUAAACAUUCAUACAUGUCAGCAUUUUCAGCAGCCAUGUAUUGCGUCUCAUGAUCAAAAUCAUCUCCAUCGUGUUCUUCACUUGUAAUAAGAGUCAAAGUCUCCUCAUCAUAGUCACUCGUGACUCACACCCACCAUCCUCAGUAACAAUCAUCACACGCUUAGAUGGGCAUUCUUUCGCAUAAUGACCUCCACCCUUGCAACGACGACAAAUAAUAUCAUGUGUUUGCCUUGUUGAUGCCAUGGAUGAAGAAUAGCUCUGUGCAAGCCUAGAAGGUGUGCUCUUGGCAGAUAGUGGUGGUUGUGCCUGCUUUCUUGUAUCAUAGUUGAAGGUGGCAGCUGACGGAGGUGCCGGUGCAGCAGAACAUGUGGAAGUAAGGAACGACGCGGUGUCCAUGAUGAAGGUCGACCUGCAGAAAAGUUAGUACGCGCCAAUGCCUGUCGAUCCUGCACUUCACAUUCAGCUUUGCAAGCAAGAUGGAAUAAACAGUGAUAUUAUUAUAUUCCUUAUACUCUAGAAUGGUCUGAAUCUCUUUAUUUAAUCCACCCAUAAAACGUGCAAGCAUAGCUUCAUUAUCCUCAACAAUACCACAUAUAAUCAUGCCAGUUUGUAAUUCCUGAUAAUAUUCUUCUACAAAAAAAAUUCCUUGUCUUAAAUGCUGCAAUUUUUGAAGUAAUUCAUAUUGAUAAUAUGGUGGAACCCAGUGAGUACGCAUAGCAGUUUUGAAAGCAGCCCAAGUAGAUGGAAUAGGAUAUAAUCUACAAUGUUCAGACCACCAAACACAUGCAAAACUAGUGAAAGCACAAACAGCAGCAGGAACAUGUCUCUCCUCAGGAUAUUGUAAACAUGUUAAUUGUUGUUCAGUUUCUAACUCCCAAGUAAGAUAUAUAUCAGGAACAUAUCUACCCUCAAUUGGUGAAAUAUUCAACUUUAGUUUAGGAAGAUGGUCAUGACCUCGUACCUCUGGUGGUGAUGCAGCCCUACCAUUGUGAUGAUAUGCAUGAGGACGACCUGGUGGUGGUCGUGCUGGUGGUUGCACGUAGUUCCGAUUUUGAUCAACCUCAUCCUCGUAAUGGUCCUCCACCUCUACAGUAGCAGCAUGAGCUACAGAAGCAUCAACAGUAGGUACAGCGGCGCCAGAAGUUUGACCAGGCUCAAGGGGAACGUGCUGUGCUCGUCCCACUUAAUUUGGAAGGCGUUGUUGUUGUUGUUGUUGUUGUUGUUGUUGUUGUUGUUGUUGUUGUUGUUGUUGUUGUUGUUGUUGUUGUUGUUGUUGUUGUUGUUGUUAUUGUUGUUGUUGUUGUAGAGGUGCAACAGGUGCAGCGGGCGGUGGUUGUGGAAGACGCGCGAGUAAUUCAUUAAACUUGUUAUCGAGCUUUGUUUCGAAUGCCUUCUCAAUGCCAUCUAUCUUCUCCAUGGCCUCUUCAAAUCGGUUUAGCACAUCUUCCACCUGCCCACUCAUCAUUUGCUGAAACUUAUCAUGAAGCUCGUUGUUCGUCAAGUUCUCCCAGUCAAUCUGGCCUGCUUGUGAUCCUGCCAUGGUUAGCAGCAAUAGAAACACACAAGAAUAUGACCCUAUAGACUACUAAUUGUUGUUGGUGGUGGGUGUCACAAAUCCGUCAAGCAAAUCUCAAAUUCUUACCAGUUCUUACCUGUCGGCAUUCUGGGAACGGGGGUCCCCAGACUUGCCUGCUUGCGGCCUGCGGCGUGGCUCAAGUGGGGGCCCAGCGCGGCCCAUCUUCAUCAGCUCAAGCUCAGGACCCUCGCGAGGGGCCAAGCCUCGCGGGGCGGACGACAAGAGGCUUCCUCAGGAGCAGCCUCAUCAGGCAGGCUCGCGAGGAGGCAGAGAGAUCAAGGCAGGGGUACCUCGCGAGGAGCCCGUGACGCAAGCCAUGACGAUCGAGACCAGGCGGGCGCUAGGCGGGCGCCGGCCUACGCAGUGUCCUUGUUUCCCUUUCGGUGCAAAGGGGGCAAGCACAGGCCAAGGCAUCAAGCAAAUGUUACCAUUCCGGUGCAACGAGACCAAGAACAACAGAGCGGCAGGACGGAGGUCACCGUGGAGCCCAAGACGGCGUCAUCACUAGUGCUUUUGGCAGCCGAAGACCACCUUUGGUCAGGAUAACUUGUACUAGAUGUUCCCCUUCAAAAUGGCCAAUUGUUGGCACCCUUCCCGCUCAUUAUUUGGGGAGAGGCCCAGGGCCUCUAUAAAUAGAGCUAGUCACCACAGAGUAAGGAGGAUCUGACCAGAUCGGAUAGAGCCCUAGGAAAGAGAGAGAGAGAGAGAGAGAGAGAGAGGCGAUAGAACUCACCCAAGCAGUUGAUCGCACCAGCUCAAGAACACCUCUCGUGAGGCUGUUCUUCCCCGGUACUGUUCAUCAUCAGCCAUUGAGGCAAUCCACCACACCACACACUAGAGUAGGGUAUUACCACAAUGGUGGCCCGAACUAGUAUAAAUCUCGUGUCCCUUGUGUUGUUCCUCGUUUCCAGCUUAGAUCGCAUGAGGAGAUCGGACGUAGAUCGGUAGGGGAGAGAUCUCCACGCACACCCCAGUGUUCGAACCUCAAGGGUCUGCCGGAACCCGAAAUCCGACAUUACCCAGCAGCAGGCGGUGAUCGGCAACCAUUAUAGUCAAAACUCUCAAAGCUUGGAUAGAGUGAUUACCAGGGAGAGUCAAAUGCACGACGUAGAUGUAUGUGGAGCUAGGAAGGCUUAUAAUAUGGUAGCAAAAAGGGUCAGCAAUAAUCAAUUCAGAGAUGCAAAGUUGAAUAAACGCUUGACGACGGUAUUGUGCUGGUCCUAAGCUAGACCGUACUAGAGACGUGAACCUAGAACACGAAAAAAAUCACAGCGCGACACGUAAACAAGGGAAAAGCACACUCUGAAAAAAAUUUGUAUAAUUUUUUGCGCUCCUCUUCUUUUUGCGAAAAAUCACUAUAAUGGCGAGUGUCUCAAAACUCUUCCCAAGUCAAACUAACAGGAUAGGCAUGAAAUUGUUUUGACAACUUUUUUUUUCGAAAAUCAGGGCAACGACGAUGAAAAAGUGCGACAAAAAAUCACUAUGAUGGCGAGUGUCUCAAAAGACUCAGAAAAGCCUAAAAACAGGAUAGGGAAAAAACAUUUUCGACUGCUGAAAUUUUGGCCUAAAAACUGUCGGGGGUCUCCGAAACCUACUCAGGCAAGGAAACACAAUUCGGAAAAUAGAUGGAUCUCGAAAACAAACCUAAUAUGAAAAGAACUCGGAUUGGUGGUGGAUAUAUGAUGGUAAGAUAUGGCAGUGGUGGUGUUAUAUGGUAGCGGUGGUGGUAUAUGUAUAUGGAUUGGUGGUGGUAUAUGGAUACAGAUUGGUGAUGGUAUAUGGAUAUGGAUCGGUGGCGGAUAAGCGGUGGUGGUAGAUGGCAGGGGCGAUGAUGAUGGUGCGGCAGCGGCGUGACAACUUAUGACCAGAACUCGAAACUCUAAAAGACUAGACGCUAAGACCCGCAACUGGACACGAUGAUGCAACCGCAAAUUCAACAAAGCAAAAACCAUAAAAAGAUUACGCAAUGGCUCAAACUGGUUUGGAUAUGAUGACUAACCCUAAAUAUUUUUUUUCGCUUUUCCGUGGACUGUAGGUAUGAAGAACAGACUCGAUCUAAACUACGAAAAAUUGUAAAAUCUCACCGAGCAACCAGGAAAUAUGAUACCACUUGAUAGAGGCAAAGGUGUCCCAUCUUUCGAUGAGAUGGUGAAUAUCGUUUCGGAGGAGUAGACUUUCACGAUCUGACUACGAACGUGCGAGGACGUCACGCCUUAGCAAUCACUAAACCAAGUCCGAGAGGUUAUUGACCAUGCAGGACCACGAUCAACCUGACUACUAGGGUCUGUUUCCUGCGAGCAAACAAAGAACAAGUAAGAAACUGAGAUUGCAAUAUGGAUAUUGCAAAUAUAUGAGGAAAGUUUUAUUAAUGAAGGUGGGUUUCUGUGACGCAUUUUUCUGGUCGUUGAACACAAACGAAGUACACGAAGUUGCAGCUAUGGCGAACUUUUAAUCUAAACAAAACCCAAAGUCUAAACGAUGCCCUAAGGGCUGUAUAUUUGGAGGAAGAGGGGGGAAUUUCAUGGCCAUUGGAGGAGGGGUACGAAACCAACCCUAACUCUUGUUUCUCCACACAUACGGACUCUAAAAACAACCUAUACUUGACUAUUUCGAAAUUACAUGGGCCUGGCCCAAAAAUAAGGUGGCGCAGCACCUAUAAUAGCCUCUGGACUAAAUUUAUGAAGUGGCAUCUUGUAUAUUUCGUCCAAGGUUUCAUGCACUCAUUAUGGUGGCUUCAAAGUCCUGAAAUCAUCACUUGUAACUUCGUUCUUGUUCUCCUUGCGCAUGCCAUCAUCUCCAUGCUUGAUAUUGCUCCAAUGUCCAUCCCUCUUGUCCAAGCCAGGCCCUUCAUUUGUAAGCAAAACAAAUGUAUCCAAUUUAGGCAACAUCAUAUUCUCAUGAACAUUAGAAUCAUUACCAAGAAAUGAAAGUACCAGGUAAUUUAAUUGGCGUGCACGAGCUCUAGUAAUUGGUCCAGUAUGUAUAGUAGCAGGGACUGUGGAUGUAACAAUGGUAUUGAUGUCCUCAUCAUUUCCUCUUUUGCUUAAAAGCUUGUUUGGCUCUUUCUCAUGCAAAAGUUGAUGAACCAAGGUAGCAAUUGUGUAUAUGCUAUGACAACCUUGUGGCACAAGAGAUGAUAUCAAGAUAUGGAUACCGAUAUGAUAUGAUAUGAUAUAUGCAACGAGAUGAUGAUCACUAAUGUGCACAUGUGACGUUCUUGGCAAUACUCAAAGGCUAGUCUCCAUGGGUAAGGGAUGCAAAGACGAAGGCUAUGGAGUUAUCAAUUGCAAUGGCAAGGCAUAGACAAAGAUGCCAUCGAAGUUACCGUCCUUGCCUAUGGUUGAAAGUGUCAAAAUGAUGUGAUUGUUGCUGAUGUCAUAGUGCACGGUCUACAGUAUGUUGGCGAAGAUGCCGCUGCACCAUAGUCGGAGUUGUCGAAUUAGCGGAGGUCGCUGAAGAAGUGCAGACUUUCUGUCUAGACCGGAAGGCCCGGUGGCCGGAAGGUCCGGGAGGAGCCGAAAGUUCUGGGGGUUGCGAUUCUGCAAGAACAUGAUAUUGGGGAUCUUGGAUUUGGGCGGAAAAAUUCGGGAAAACCCCAAAUCUGAAGGAGAAAAGAAAAAUUUUGGGUGGAAGGAAGGGCGGGGAAGCUAGAUCUACGAGCCGCACACAAAAUUCAUGAAUCAAAUCCAAGAAAACUUCAUCACACCAACAAAUCACAAAAAAUUGGGAGGGCUAUUUUUGUGAGGAUUUUCAAAAUUGGAACGGAUCACAACAAAAUUAGGCAAGAAAACAAAAAGGGAGGCUCCGAAAUCGUGAUCAACGUGGCUCAUGAUACCCUGAUGAUGUAGGGUAGAACCCUAGAUAUCUGAUCUUUCACGAAAGGAGCGGAUCCCGCGAGGAACACGAAGAACACAAAGGGAAAACAUAAAGGAAACACGGGAGAAAUCACUCAAACCAACAAGAUUCGGUCACACAUAUGCUAGAUCCUCGAAACACAAAAGAGAUACAAGAUCCACGAUCAACAAGGGCCGAUAAAAGUGGCACGGUCUUCUCCGUGAGGAGGUCUUGAGGGGUCUUCCCGUUAGGGGUUCUGAAUCCACUUGGGGGAUCUUCUCCGUAGAGGCCGUGAACUCCUAAGGAGAAGGGGAUCAAGUGGAGAGCAAAGCUUCUCAAUGAGUUACUACUUUGCUAACCCUAAAAUGUAGGUAGGAGAAGAGUAUAUAUAGUCUCGGGGGCGAAAGGGUACACGGGCCUCGGCCCAAGUCACUGCGCGCAGGCAUGGCCGGAAGUACCGGGCCAGGUUCCGGGGAGGGUCCGGCCUAACCAGAGAGUUGGCACGAGAGAAGCUAGGCUGGCGUCCGGGGGCCGGAAGGUCCAGGCCAGGUUUCGGGCUGGUUCCGGGCUAACCAGAGAGUUGGCACGCCCGGGCUGGUCUGGGUCGUCGAAGGUCGGAAGCUCCGGGUCGGACGGAAGUUCUGGGCUCUGGCCGGAAGUUCCGGGCUAAAUAGAGAGCUGACGCCUGUCUCUUCUUCUUCUUCAGCUCUCGGCUCGUGGCUUGUGCGUUGUACUUGAUCACACAUAGCGUCUCGGACUUAGGAAGUAGCCAUGUCUCACUCGAAGGAAAGGGAAACUCAAGUAGGAGUGAUGUCACCUCAGAUUGAAUAGCACGAGUUCUUGCUCUUGUCAUGGGUCCACUUAUAGCUUGGAUAGUCGAGGUAGUGUCCAUGGGGAUGACCAUGGGAUGCUCCGCAUCAGUUUCUGUAUCCUAUCGCGUUUCGGUAACUUAGGGACGGUUCGACAUCAACACCACCGCCACUCAUCUUCGCCGCGGACUCGUCAUCGACAACAACCGCUCAACAAUUUUAACACCUUCAACCGUAAGCAAGGACGGUAACCUCAACGACAUCUUUGUCUACUCCUUGCCAUUACAUUGAUAACCACCAUAGCCCAAUUUUGCAUAUCUUGCCUAUCUAGACUAGCCUUUGAGUAUUGCCCGCAACGUAACUUGUGCACAUUAGUGAUCAUAGCUCCCAUUGCAUACAUACCAUAUCAUUUUGGUACAUAUCUUGGUAUAUUCUUUUAUGUCACAACAUGAUGAGGACAUCAAUACCAUUGUUACACCCACAGCCCCUACUGUUACAUAUACUGGACCAAUUACUAGAGCUCGCGCAUGCCAACUAAAUUACCAGGUACUUUAGUUUCUUGGUAAUGAUUCUAAUGUUCAUGAGAAUAUGAUGCUGCCUAAAUUGGAUACAUUUGUUUUGCUUACAAAUGAAGGGCCUAGCUUGGAGAAGGAUGAACAUUGGAUUAAGAACAUGCAUGGAGAUGAUGGCAUGCGCAAGGGGAACAAGAACGGAGUUACAAGUGAUGAUUUCAGGACUUUGAAGCCACCAUAAUGGGUGCAUGAAGCCUUGGACGAAAUAUACAAGAUGCCACUUCAUAAAUUUCGUCCCGAGGCUAUUAUAGGUGCUGCGUCACCUUAUUAUUGGGCCAGGCCCAUGUAAUUUCGAAAUACAUAAGUAUAGGCUAUUUUUAGACUCCGUAUGCGUGGGGAAACAAGAGAUAGGGUUGAUUUCGGACCCCUCCACCAAGGGUCACGAAAUUCCCCCCUCUUCCUCCAUAUAUACAGCCCUUAGGGCAUCGUUUAGACUUUGGGUUUUGUUUAGAUUAAAAGUUCGCCAUAGCUGCAACUUCGCGUACUUCGUUUGUGUUCAACGACCAGACAAAGGCGUCACAAAACCCCACCUUGAUCAAUAAAGCUUUCAUCUUAUAUUCGCAAUAUCCAGAUUGCAAUCUCAGUUUCUUGCUUGUUCUUCGUUUGCUCGCAGGAAACAGACCCUCUUGGUCAGGUUGAUCGUGCUCCGGCGUGGUCAAUAACCUCUCGGAGUUGGUUUAGCGAUUGCUAAGGCGCGACGUCCUCGCACGUUCGUAGUCGGAUCGUCAAAGUCGACUGCCACCAAAGCGAUAUCCAUCAUCUCAUCGAAAGACGGGACACCUUUGCCUCUAUCAAAACUAUGGCACGUUUCUUGAAUGGACUCAAUCAUCCUAUCAAUAAGAUCGCCGACUUCCAACCUUACUCAAACCUCAUCGAGUUACUGCAUCAAGCUACCAAGGCGGAACGGCAAGUGCAAGAUGACUUCAAGUAUGCCAAGUACUCUUCCAAGAGCUACGGCUUCUCCAACACCCAAGCUUCAACGACUCCAACACCUUCUAGCUCAACCAAGCCUUCUAUAAGCAACGGCGACAAAUCAAGUUUCAUGAAAACUUCGAUAACCUCAAGUCGUCCUCCUACUACAAGCAACUUCAAGCCGAGAUCUUCAUCAUAUACAACUCCAACCGAUGAGACCGUCAAGACAAGUUCCAUCACGUCCUUUGGCGGCCGAGGCCACAAGUCCUUUGAGUGUACCAACAAGCACACCAUGAUCCUCAACGAUGACAGAACCUAUGACUCCAUGAGUGAAGAGGAAUUGGAAGCCCUUGAGCAAGUGGCCAUGCACCGGCGCGUGAACAAAGAUGAAGAUGAUCAUGUCUUUUGUGACGAGGAUCCGAGCCCCGCUCUCGUCGUCUCCAAGGUCUUGACACUUCAACAUCAACAAGACAAAGACCAAAGAUGCCAUAUCUUCCACACCAAGGCCGGCAUCAAUGGAAGGUCUGUGAAGGUCAUCAUCGACGGAGGGAGUUGCCAUAACUUGGCAAGUGAAGAGAUAUGCUCCAAGCUCCAAUUGGUCAAGAUGAAGCACCCGCAUCCCUACAAAGUUCAAUCACUAGGCGACUCCGGCACAAUCCAAGUCGACUAUAUGGUGCAAGUUUCCUUCAAGAUCGGAGCAUACGAAGACACUUUGGAGUGUGAUGUUGUUCCGACGUUCGUUUGCCACCUUCUUCUUGGGCGACCAUGGCAAUUUGACCGAGAUGUCAUCCACAACGGGCGAACAAAUCACUAUAGCUUCAAGAUGAAGAGAAAGGAGUACGUGCUAUGACCUAUGUCUCCUAGCCAAGUGAUCACCGAAAAGCAAGCCACCCAUCAUGGAGAGAAUAGUGAGAGAGCGAACCACCCAAAAGAGAGUGAGCGCCACAAGCCAAAAUUGAGUGCCUCCACGACGAGUGACUAGAAGAACUUAGUCCUAUUUGCCACCAAAAGUGAGAUAAUGAUGAGGACAUCAAUACCAUUGUUACACCCACAGCCCCUACUGUUACAUAUAUUGGACCAAUUACUAGAGCUCGCGCACGCCAAUUAAAUUACCAGGUACUUUUGUUUCUUGGUAAUGAUUCUAAUGUUCAUGAGAUUAUGAUGCUGCCUAAAUUGGAUACAUUUGUUUUGCUUACAAAUGAAGGGCCUAGCUUGGAGAAGGAUGAACAUUGGAGCAAGAACACGCAUGGAGUUGAUGGCAUGCGCAAGGGGAUCAAGAACGGAGUUACAAGUGAUGAUUUCAGGACUUUGAAGCCGCCAUAAGGAGUGCAUGAAGCCUUGGACGAAAUAUACAAGAUGCCACUUCAUAAUAUUCGUCUAUAGGCUAUUCUAGGUGCUGCGUCACCUUAUUAAUGGGCCAGGCCCAUGUAAUUUCGAAAUACUUAAGUAUAGGCUAUUUUUAGAGUCCGUAUGUGUGGGGAAACAAGAGUUAGGGUUGGUUUCGGACCCCACCCUCAAGGGCCACGAAAUUCCCCCCUCUUCCUCCAUAUAUACAGCCCUUAGGGCGUCGUUUAGACUUUGGGUUUUGUUUAGAUUAAAAGUUUGCCAUAGCUGCAACUUCGCGUACUUCGUUUGUAUCCAACGACCAGACCAAGACGUCACAGAACCCCACCUUGAUCAAUAAAGCUUUUCAUCUUAUAUUCGCAAUAUCCCGAUUGCAAUCUCAGUUUCUUGCUUGUUCUUCGUUUGCUCGCAGGAAACAGACCCUCGUGGUCAGGUUGAUCGUGCUCCGGCGUGGUCAAUAACCCUCGGAAGUUGGUUUAGCGAUUGCUAAGGCGCGACGUCUGCACGUUCGUAGUCGGAUCGUCAAGGUCGACUCCCACAGAAAAUGAUAGCCACCAUCUCAUCGAAACAUCGGGACACCUUAGCCUCUAUCAGAUAAGAGAAGUGUUUGAGAACCCAUCAAGUGUCAUGCACUAUGUCCUUUUGUGCAAGGACGAGGCACCCAUAACUAACAAUUCUCACAAUCUACCUUUAGUGUUAUCUUCUCUAUUGCAGGAAUGCCAAGAUGUAUUACCCAACUUUGACAAACCCUUUGAAAUUCAUUGCGAUGCUAGUGGUAAUGGCAUAGGAGGUGUGUUAACGCAAGAAAAGUGCCCCAUAGCUCACUUUAGUGAAAACCUUUCCGGCGCGCAACUUAAUUAUACCAUCCAUGACAAAGAGCUAUAUGCUUUAGUGCGCGUUUUGCAUGAAUGGGAACAUUAUCUUUGCCCUCAUGAAUUUGUCAUUCAUACCGACCAUGAAACGCUUAAAUAUCUCAAGGGUCCAACCAAAUUGAACAAGCGUCAUGCUAAGUGGAGUGAGUUCAUUCAGUCAUUUCCUUAUGUCAUCAAAUAUAUCAAAGGUAAGGAAAAUGUUGUGGCGGAUGAUCUUUCCCGCGUAUGCAUGCUUGUUACCAAACUUGAAUUGAAUGUCAUUGGCUUUGAGCACAUAAAAGACUUGUAUGCGCAUGAUCCUACUUUUCCUGCUCCAUAUACCAAAUGUUUGACGCAUACAUCUUGGGAACGUUAUUACAUCAAAGAUGAUUAUCUUAUGAGAGCUAACAAACUAUGUAUUCCCGAGUCUUCUCUUUGUUUGUUACUUUUGCAAGAAUCUCAUGGAGGAGGACUAACGGGACACUUUGGACGCGACAAUACAUUCAUUAUGCUAUCCAAGAACUACUUUCAUCCCAAGAUGUUCCACGACGUCUCACGCUUCACCAACCGAUGCCCUACAUGUCACAAAGCUAAGUCCAAAGCUCAAUCCCAUGGUCUUUAUAUGCCCCUUCCAAUUCCAUAUCACCCAUCGGAAGAUAUUAGCAUGGAUUUGGUCCUUGGUUUGCCUAGAACUAGAAAUGAAAAGGAUUCCGUGUUUGUUGUUGUGGAUCGGUUUUCUAAAAUGGCACAUUUCAUACCAUGCACCAAGAUAGACGAUGCUUCACAUGUUGCAAAUCUUUUUUGUAGGGAAAUCUUGCGCCUACAUGGAAUGCCAAAGACGAUUGUCUCCGACUGCGAUGUCAAGUUCUUAAGCUACUUUUGGAAGACCUUAUGCGCCAAGCUCGGAAUCAAGCUCUUGUUCUCUUCGGCAUACCAGCCCCAAACUGACGGUCAAACGGAGGUGACAAACCAAACACUCUCCACUCUACUAUGUGUGUUGAUCAAGAAGAACAUCAAGGAGUGGGAGGAGUGCCUACCCAUCGCCGAGUACGCCUACAACCGUGCAAGACAUUCGACUACCGACAAGUCUCCUUUCGAGGUUGUCUAUGGUUUCAACCCGUUGUCCCCAUUGGACAUUCUUCCCCUACCACUACAAGAGCGCAUCAACAUGGACGCGAGUGCCCGAGUGAACUACCUCAAGAGGAUCUAUGAAGAUACAAUGCACACCAUCGAGCGCCAAGUGCAAUGACUCGCGAAAAAGCUCAACAUCAACAAACAACCCAUGGUAUUCAACAUUGGAUAUCUUGAGUGGCUACACCUUCGCAAGGACCGCUUCCCCAACAACGCAAGUCCCAACUUCUACCACGAGCUGAUGGUCCCUUCAAGGUGCUUGAACGCUACAACAACAAUGCCUACAAGAUCGGCAUCCCACGCGACUAGUACUCCGUGAGCGACAUCUUCAACGUCAAAGAUCUCUCCCCCUACUAUGGUGAUGAGGAUUUUGAUCCGAGUUCGGAUCUUUCCCAAGGGAGGGGAGAUGAUAUGGAGCAUCCUAUGGUCAUCCCCAUGGACCUACCAUUAUCUCACCAAGUGCCAAAAGGACCUAUGACACGAGAACGAGUUAGAGCUCUCGAGACCGAGGUGACUUCUUUCCUUCGUGAUAUUACAUAUGAUCCACUCGUGUAGCUACCCGACCUCAAACGGUCAAGUCUCUGUGUUUCAGUGUCAUCCCUGGAUCGGUAAUGCUGACACACACAGUGCUCGAAGGAUUUAUAACAGAGUAGCAAUCACACACUUAUUACAUCGAAUGUCUCAGAAGAGAACUUAUUACAAUAAAUAUGGCUUAAGGCCAUCUAAUACGAUAACAGCGGAAGGCUUGGAAGAUAAAGUGAGUCCAUCAACUCCAACGGCAUUGCUGAGCUGCACGACAACGACCUAACGAACCUUACUCCUCGUCUGAAAAGUCUGCAACAUAAUACGUUGCAGCCCGGAAACGGGUCAGCACAUGGAAUAUGCUGGCAAUAUAACACAGUAGAGCAAGAACAGAAUAAUGCUAUCACUACAUGCAUAUUUGGCUGGUGGAAAGCUCUAUGGUUAUAGUUUUGCGAAAAGCCAAUUUUUUCCUACAACAAAGGAAUAAGUUCUAUUUUAACUAUCAUGGUAGUUGAAACAUCAUUGAGAAGGUUCCCCCAACUCAAUCCCAAUUAAAAUAAUUAUCAACCCAACAAUAUUAAUUUAGAGUGAUGAGAUACUUAGGAUAAUCCAAGUACUAGAUACUCAAGAUGUCCAUAACCGGGGACACGGCUAACCAUGGUUAGAUUGUACACUCUGCAGAGGUUUGCGCACUUUUCUGCACAAGACUCGAUCUCCUCCGUUGGAUCUCUCACACUACUUGGUGUUUGAGAAACGGAUGACCGAGACACAGUCUUUCAGAAACAUUAACUCUUUACUCCGGGCAGACCAUAUGAACCUACAUCCCUCUACCUGUUGAUCCACCUCUUCAAGAGCUCCUGCAACCUACUCAACUAUGCUAGAGCCCAUAAUAGCUUGUGGCUGCACACGGAAGUUUCUAGCAUGAAAAUAUCUCAGUUCCCUUUGAGCCUGGGUGCCGGACCUUAGGAUUAUCACACGGGCACUCAGGGAUAUCCUAGGACAACACUGGAUUCUCCAGGUGCCCGACAAGCAAUCCACCCAGAUGUGUAUUAAAGUUGCCACCUUAAGUUGAACCAUUAAUUAAAUCAUCUCACAUCUGUCAUGGAUUCACUCACCCAAACCACGUCUACGAGCAUAGCAUAGCAAUAUAAGCAAUACGUAGAAGUAACUCCCAAGGGUUUGAAUAUAACAGGGCAAUAGGUUCUACCUCAUCAACUACUUCCCAACCCACAUGUUAAUCACAUCCUAAUCAUGCAACGUUUGAGGAUUGGAGGAAAUGCAUAAAAACUGGGUAUGAAAGGAGUAUGAUCAAUGUGUUACUUGCCUUGCUGACGAUCCGCAAAACCUAAGGACUCGUAGUAGCACGCUUCGCACUUCGGAAAUUCUAUCGCAAACAAACAAUAUCAUACAUAAGCAAUCAAGCAAAUAAGCACGGGUAAAUCUCAAAUAAGAAGAACUAACCAGAAAGUUCAACUUAAGAACUCCGGUUAGCAAAAAGAAUCAAAUCAAACGGAGCAACGAAACUCAAACUGCUUAAGAAACAAGAUCCGUUUACUAAUCUGGACUAAAGUCAAAUUUUACAGUACCAAAAUCUUGUUCAAGUUCAUUAAACAGAAAGAGGGUUUUGAGACGAAGAUCUAGGCGCUUAAAUCACAUGAUUCCGAUAAACGAGCGAAAAGAUAAACUGAAACGAAAAUCGGAUCAGAAAUCGCGAUCGAAAAUAAUCACGAAAAAUCCGAGAAAAAGAAAAACUGACGAACAGGCUAACGAACGAACGUUCGCUGUCUGCGGCUAAUGAGUGAACACCAUUUGUUAAAACGAACGUACGGACGAACGUCCUCUAAAUAAACUAAACCCGAAAAAAACCCGAUCUAUCCUAAAAAAACGAACCUAGGGUUUUCUAAAAAAACCGGAUCGGUUUUAAAAUAAAACCGAACGGCGGCAACGGCGGCUUAUACCUCCGGCGAGGUCCGGCGAGGCGAGGCGGCUCCGGCAAGGUGGGUUGCGGCGGCGGGGUGCACGGGCGGCGGCAACAGCAGGCGGCGGCGCGGCGGCGACGCGAGCUAGGUGGCGGUGGUGGUGGCGGGGUUCGGGUGGUGGUGAGGGGGUCCGGGGCAGCGUAUAUAAAGGAGGGGGGCUAGCUUGGGGAGGGGGCAAGGCGGCGCGGGGAGAUUCCUGACCGGACUCGGCGUCGCGGGCGGCGGCGGCCUCCAUGUCAGGGACGAGGCGGACGGCGUGGCUGGGCUGGGCCGGCUGGGUUUCGGCCCAGUCGGCGAAGAGAAGAUUUUUUAAAAUAAUUUCGCCGAAACUUAAAUAAAUCCUAGAAAAAUAAAUAAAAAUCUAAAAAUGCCAAAACAAAUUUUCACCGUCUAAAUAAAAUAUUUAGAACAAGAUGAACAUUUUCUUGGCCCUAAAAUGCAACUUUGAAAAAUGUGCAAUUUUUCUAAUGCAAAUAAAAUAGCAAUAAAAUCCGAAUAAAAUCAAAUAUUUGAUUUUAAUAUUUUCCUCCAAUAUUUCAAUUAUUUUGGAGAAGUCAUAUUAUCUCUCUCAUAUAUUUUAAUAUGAAAUAUUUUUGGAGAGAAAAAUAAUUAAAACCAAUAAUCCUCGUUUCAAUAUUUGAUAAAAUUCAAAUAUGAAAAAAAUGAAAUCCCCAACUCUCUCCGAGGGUCCUUGAGUUGCUUAGGAUUUCAAGGAUUGCGAAACGAAAUGCAAUAAAGUAUGAUAUGCAUGAAUGAUCUAUGUGUAACAUUCCAAAUUGAAAAUUUGGGAUGUUACAAACCUACCCCCCUUAAGAUGAAUCUCCCCUCGAGAUUCGGGUUGGCUAGAAAAUAGGUGUGGGUGGUCUUUGCGAAGAUCAUCCUCUCGUUCCCAGGUGGCUUCAUCCUCGGUAUGGUGGCUCCACUAAAUUUUGCAAAACUUGAUAACCUUGCUGCGGGUGACUCGGCUGGCAAAUUCAAGAAUUCUGACUGGCUUCUCCUCAUAGGUCAGAUCACUGUCCAACUGAAUUGCCCCCAAGGGUACUGUAUCUCUUAACGGUAUAUCAGCCAUCUCAGCAUGACACUUCUUCAACUGUGAAACGUGAAACACAUCAUGAACUCCUGACAGUCCUUCAGGUAACUCCAACUUGUAGGCAACUUCUCCCAUACAUUCCAAAAUUCGAUAAGGUCCUACAAAUCUUGAGGCUAACUUUCCCUUGACUCCAAAAUGUUUCACUCCUCGCAAGGGUGACACUCGCAAAUAUGCUCUAUCUCCAAUUUCAUAGGUUACCUCCUUGCGUUUUGAAUCUGCAUAACUCUUCUUCCUGGACUGAGCUAUCGUGAAUCAACUUAACCUUCUCUUUAGACUCCUUGAUCAAGUCUGGUCCAAACAACUGCCGAUCUCCAACUUCAUCCCACAUCCAUACAGGGCUUCGAACGAUGCCAUCUUCAAACUGGCCUGGUAGCUAUUGUUGUAUGAGAACUCUGCGUAGGGCAAAUUGUCAUCCCAACUAGAUCCAUAAUCCAGCGCACAAGCUCUCAACAUAUCCUCUAGAAUUUGGUUGACUCUCUCAGUCUGUCCAUCCGUCUGUGGGUGAAAUGUUGUACUGAACUCCAAUCUCGUUCCCAAAGUCUGGUGCAGUUGAUGCCAAAACUUUGAGGUAAACUGUGUCCCUCUAUCUUAUACUAUGGUCCUUGGAACUCUAUGCAGACAUACGAUCCUGGUCAUGUAUAUCUUGGCCAACUUCGCACUGGUAUAGGUUGUUUUCACUGGGAUAAAGUGAGCCACUUUGGUCAAGCGAUCAACUACUACCCAUAUAGAAUCAUAUCCUGAUUUGGUCCUGGGCAAUCCAGUGAUGAAAUCCAUGCCAAGUUUAUCCCACUUCAAUUCGGGUAUCGGCAUAGGCUGUAACAAUCCUGCUGGCUUUUGAUGCUCUGCCUUCACUCUCUGACACACAUCACAUAUAGCUACAUACUUGGCAAUAUCCUUCUUCAUACCAGUCCACCAGAAACGUUCCUUCAAAUCCAGAUACAUCUUGGUGUUUCUGGGGUGUAUCGAGUAUGGGGAGUCAUGAGCCUCCUGAAGUAUUAACUUCCUGAUCUCUAUGUUAUUGGGCACAUAAACACGGUCCUCAAACCAUAAGGUGUCGUGCUCAUCCUCACGAAAACCUUUGGCCUUUCCUUUGCCCAUUCUUUCUUUUAUCUCGGCAAUCUCUUUGUCAUCAUUCUGUGCCUCCCGAAUCUUUCCUAACAAUGUAGACUGAACUUCCAUUGUUGCAUCAAAACCUCUAGGAACAAUCUCCAAUCGAAGUUCCCUGAGAUACUCUGCUAACUCCUUUGGCAAUCCCGUGGUCACUAGGGUGUUAGCAUAACUCUUCCGACUCAAGGCGUCUGCUACGACAUUGGCCUUGCCUGGAUGAUAGUGUAGCUUCCUAUCAUAAUCCUUUAUAAGCUCCAACCAUCUCCUCUGCCUAAGGUUUAACUCCUUCUAUGUGAAAAUGUACUUCAAACUCUUAUGAUCCGUGUACACAUCACAACGAUUUCCAAUAAGGUAAUGUCUCCAAGUCUUAGCGCAUGCACUAGUGCUGCUAACUCCAACUCAUGCGUGGCAUAAUUCAAUUCGUGCGGUUUUAGUUGUCGUGAGGCAUAUAAAACAACUCUUCUGUCCUGCAUAAGCACACUUCCAUGUCCUAGGCGAGAGGCGUCGCAAUACACUUGGAAAUCCUUGCGGAUAUCCGGCAGAAUCAGCACUGGGGCUAUAGUCAAACGUUUCUUAACUCCUGAAAACUUGCCUCACGUUCUUCCGUCCAUUUAAAUUUGGUAUCCUUCUUCAAUAACUCUGUCAUUGGCUUUGCAAUAUUGGAAAAAAUCUCAAUGAAUCUUCGAUAGUAUCCUGCGAGUCCAAGAAAACUGCGGAUCUCGCUAACUGAAGUGGGUGCCAACCAUUUAGUGACUAUUUGAACCUUGGUGGGGUCUACUGCUAUACCUUCUCCUGAUAUAACAUAUCCAAGGAGUCCGACUUCCUUCAACCAAAACUCACAUUUGCUGAACUUGGCAUACAACUGGUGUUCCCUGAGUUUCUUGAGAACUAAACGCAAAUGCUCUUCGUGCUCCUCCUCAUUCUUCGAGUAUACCAUUAUAUCAUCAAUGAACACCACAACAAACUUAUCCAAAUAUUCCAUGAACACUUUGUUCAUCAUGCUCAUGAAAUAGGCAGGGGCGUUAGUCAGUCCAAAUGACAUGACCGUAUAUUCAUACAACCCAUACCGUGUGGUGAAUGCUGUCUUUGGUAUAUCCUUCUCUCGAAUCUUCAGCUGGUGGUACCCUGAUUGCAGAUUGAUCUUUGAAAACACCUUAGCUCCUUGCAGUUGGUCAAACAAAUCAUUGAUCAUCGACAGUGGGUAUUUGCUCUUGAUCGUCACCUCAUUUAACGCACGAUAAUCAACAACCAUUCUUAGAGACUUAUCCUUCUUCUCAACCAUAAGCACUGGGGCUCCCCAUGGUGAUGAACUCCGUCGAAUAUAACAUUUCUCCAAUAAUUCCUUGAUCGGAUUCUUAAUCUCCUCUAGAUCAUUUGCGGGCAUCCGGUAUGGUCUCUUUGAUAUUGGCCCUGUACCUGGCAAUAGCUCUAUCAAAAACUCGAUGUCACGAUCCGGUGGCAUGCCUCAUAACUCCUCUGGAAAAACAUCCGGGCAAUCCUUCACUAUAGGCACUUCCUCCUAAACAACUCCCGUGAGGGUAUUUACUUGGCUCCUCCUAGGCGCAUGCCUAGAUACAUACUUAAUCCGUUUUUGCUCCGGGGUGGUGAGAUAAAUCGACUUACUAGCACAGUCAAUGCUUCCUCCAUACUUUGACAUCCAGUCCAUGCCUAAUAUCACAUCCAAUCCUUGUGACUCCAAAAUUAUUAGGUCUGACGGGAAAACAUGGUUACCAAUGGUUAGGGGUAUCUGGUCGCACCAUCGACUAGCCAUAUACUCUGCUCCAGGUGAACUCACUAACAGAGGGGUCCUAAGGGUUUGGGUUGGUAGUUUAAACUUAUCCACGAAUCCCCUUGAUAUGUAUGAAUAUGAUGCACCAGUAUCAAAAAGAACAAGGGCGGUAAAAUACUUAAGCAAAAACUUACCAAUAACUGCAUCUGGCUGCUCUUCAACCUCCUCCAUGUUAACGUGGUUCACUUGUCCUUUGUUGAAUGGAUUGGGCUUCUUCCCAGCGCUCCCAUUACCAUUUCCAUUCUUUGCUUCAGGGCACUCCGUGGCAUAGUGUCCGGUCUUCCCGCACUUGAAGCAAGUAAUGUGACUUAGGUCUCUCUUGGCGGGUGUGGCUGGAUUGGGGCGGUUCUGAUUGUUGCUUGUUCCGUUCCCAGUCCCAUUCUUAGAACCAUUGUGGUUGUGCGAACUUCCUCCCUUAUGGUUAUAACCUCCAUGUUAUGAACAAGUCCUCCCGAGUUCGGGGUUAGGCGAGGUUUCUGCUGAGCUCCUGAGUUAUACCUUCCUUGUCCAUACUUCCUCUUACGGCUCUCAAUCUGCUGUUGCUUCCCUUCAAUCAUAAGAGCCUUAUCUACCAACUCAUGGUAGUUGUUGAAUGUUGCCACCAUCAACUACAUGCUCAUCUCAUCAUUCAGCCCUUCCAUAAACUUCUCCUGCUUCGCGGCAUAUGUGGCCACAUCGUAAGGGGCAUAGCGAGAUAACUUGCUAAACUCAUCCACGUGCUGAGCCACAGUAUGGUUCCCCUAGCGUAAGUUGCAAAACUCACACUUCUUCAUGCUCAUAGCUCCAGUGGAGACAUGGGCUGUACAGAAAGCUUGCUGAAACUGAUCCCAAGUGACGUUGGCUAUGGGGAAAGUGGUCGUAUAAUUCUCCCACCAUGAGGCUGCUGGUCCAACCAAUUGAUGUGCGGCAAAGCGCACCUUCUCAGCAUCUAUGCAACCUGCGGUGGUCAACUCCCUUCCAAUACGGCGUAGCCAAUCAUCUGCUACUAUAGGCUCGGUGCUACUGGAAAACACCGGCGGCUGCAACCUCAGAAAGCGAGCUAAGUUGUCAACUGGAGGCGGGUUGUUCUUGUUGUUGCCUUGGUUCUGGACUAACAAUUGCAUCAAGGCAUUCUGCUGCUGGAUCAACUGAGUGAGUUCUGGCGGGAAGGCAAAUCCAGUGUCACGUCUCAGAGGCAUCUGGCGGGUUUAGAGGGGAGAGAUUAGAAUAGAAAAGGGGUCUAGUGAGAAAGCACUACCCAUAUGCACAUGAGACAAACACAAUCAUUUCACUCAAUCAAUCAAGUAAGGGUAUACAAAUGGUCUAGAACUAUCGUAAAAAGUGCUCAACUACUACUAUAUACAUGGGGGAAUACUACUAAUCAUUUGGUGGUCAUCUAGAAAUUUUGAUCGGUGGAAGACUCCAUGAUGUCUACUCCAACUUCGUCUUCAAAGUCAUAUUCACUUGGGUCGGAGUCGGUGUCGUCGAUGAUGAUGUAGUUCUCCGAGCAAAUUGAGUCGUCGUCCUCUCCUCCUAGCACGGGGUCUCCCAUGAAUACUCCGAUCUUCUUUAUCAAGUCGUCAUUCUUCUCCAAUAGUGUUGCAAUUUCCUCCUCAUAUCCAUCGCGUGUAGACUUAAGUUCUUCUUCCAGCUCGAUGAUCCUUGUCUUCGCCUUCUUCAAAUAUAUCAUGUAUGCGCACAUCUGAUUCUCCUCGCGUCGAAUGUGCUGGUUUAACUCCUGGAUGAAAGCUGCAAUGGAUCUGUCCUUCUUGGUGCUGAUCAUCUCCCAUUGCUCAUCUCGGCGCCCACAUAUCUGAUAAAUAGUGUCCUUGAGAUCCUUGUUGUAGACUUCUCCAAUGCGUCCCAUGGUAAUGUGGGCUGCCAUGCUCUUUCCUAGACUACAGGUGGGUGCUUCAAAAGAAAAUUCUAUGGGCUUAGUGGUUGGCGAGAACGUCCUUCCUGGAACUUGAACUCCAACGGCAUUGCUGAGCUGCACGACAACGACCUAACGAACCUUACUCCUCGUCUGAAAAGUCUGCAACAUAAUACGUUGCAGCCCGGAAACGGGUCAGCACAUGGAAUAUGCUGGCAAUAUAACACAGUAGAGCAAGAACAGAAUAAUGCUAUCACUACAUGCAUAUUAUAGUUUUGCGAAAAGCCAAUUUUUCCCUACAACAAAGGAAUAAGUUUUAUUUUAACUACCAUGGUAGUUGAAACAUCAUUGAGAAGGUUCCUCCAACUCAAUCCCAAUUAAAAGUAAUUAUCAACCCAACAAUAUUAAUUUAGAGUGAUGAGAUACUUAGGAUAAUCCAAGUACUAGAUACUCAAGAUAUCCAUAACCGGGGACACAGCUAACCAUGAUUAGAUUGUACACUCUGCAGAGGUUUGCGCACUUUUCCCCACAAGGCUCGAUCUCCUCCGUUGGAUUUCUUGCACUACAUGGUGUUUGAGAAACGGAUGACCGAGACACAGUCUUUCAGAAACAUUAACUCUUUACUCCGGGAAGACCAUACCAACCUAUAUCCCUCUACCUGCUGAUCCACCUCUUCAAGAGCUCAUGCAACCUACUCAACUAUGCUAGAGCCCAUAAUAGCUUGUGGCUGCACACGGAAGUUUCUAGCAUGAAAAUAUCUUAGUUCCCUUUGAGCCUGGGUGGCGGACCUUAGGAUUAUCACAUGGGUACUCCGGGAUAUCCUAGGACAACACUGGAUUCUCCAGGUGCCCGACAAGCAAUCCACCCAAAUGUGUAUUAAAGUUGCCACCUUAAGUUGAACCAUUAAUUAUAUCAUCUCACAUCUGUCAUGGAUUCACUCACCCAAACCACGUCUACGAGCAUAGCAUAGCAAUAUAAGCAAUACGUAAAAGUAACUCCCAAGGGUUUGAAUAUAACAUGGCAAUAGGUUCUACCUCAUCAACUACUUCCCAACCCACAUGUUAAUCACAUCCUAAUCUUGCAAUGUUUGAGGAUUGGAGCUAAUGCAUAAAAACUGGGUAUGAAAAGAGUAUGAUCAAUGUGUUACUUGCCUUGCUGACGAUCCGCAAAACCUAGGGACUCGUAGUAGCACGCUUCACACUCCAAAAAUUCUAUCGCAAACAAACAAUAGCAUACAUAAGAAAUCAAGCAAAUAAGCACGGAUAAAUCUCAAAUAAGAAGAACUAACCAGAAAGUUCAACUUAAGAACUCCGGUUUGCAAAAAGAAUCAAAUCAAACAGAGCAACGAAACUCAAACUGCUAAAGAAACAAGAUCUGUUUACUAAUCUGGACUAAAGUCAAAUUUUAAAAUACCAACAUCUUGUUCAAUUUCAUUAAAAAGAAAGAGGGUUUCGAGAAGAAGAUCUAGGUGCUUGAAUCGCCUGAUUCCGAUAAAUGAGCGAAAAGAUAAACUGAAACGAAAAUCGGAUCAGAAAUCGCGAUCGAAAAUAAUCGCGAAAAAUCCGAGAAAAAGAAAAACUGACGAACGGGCUAACGAACGAACAUUUGCUGUCUGUGGCUAAUGAGUGAACACCGUUCGUUAAAACAAACGUCCGCUAAAUAAACUAAACCGAAAAAACCGAUCUAUCCUAAAAAAACGAACCUAGGGUUUUCUAAAAAAACGGAUUGGUUUUAAAAUAAAACCGAACGUCGGCAACAUCGGCUUAUACCUCCAGCGAGUUCCGCCUAGGCGGGGCGGCUCCGGUGAGGUGGGCUGCGGUGGCGGGGUGCACGGGCAGCGGCGGCGGCAACGGCAGUCGGCGGCGCGGCGCUAGGCGGCGGGGCGGCGNNNNNNNNNNNNNNNNNNNNNNNNNNNNNNNNNNNNNNNNNNNNNNNNNNNNNNNNNNNNNNNNNNNNNNNNNNNNNNNNNNNNNNNNNNNNNNNNNNNNNNNNNNNNNNNNNNNNNNNNNNNNNNNNNNNNNNNNNNNNNNNNNNNNNNNNNNNNNNNNNNNNNNNNNNNNNNNNNNNNNNNNNNNNNNNNNNNNNNNNNNNNNNNNNNNNNNNNNNNNNNNNNNNNNNNNNNNNNNNNNNNNNNNNNNNNNNNNNNNNNNNNNNNNNNNNNNNNNNNNNNNNNNNNNNNNNNNNNNNNNNNNNNNNNNNNNNNNNNNNNNNNNNNNNNNNNNNNNNNNNNNNNNNNNNNNNNNNNNNNNNNNNNNNNNNNNNNNNNNNNNNNNNNNNNNNNNNNNNNNNNNNNNNNNNNNNNNNNNNNNNNNNNNNNNNNNNNNNNNNNNNNNNNNNNNNNNNNNNNNNNNNNNNNNNNNNNNNNNNNNNNNNNNNNNNNNNNNNNNNNNNNNNNNNNNNNNNNNNNNNNNNNNNNNNNNNNNNNNNNNNNNNNNNNNNNNNNNNNNNNNNCUGGGGGCGGGGUUCGGCGGGCGGCGGGUUUCGGGUGGUGGUGAGGGGGUCCGAGGCGGCGUAUAUAAAGGAGGGGGGCUAGCUUGGGGGAGGGGGCAAGGCGGUGCGGGGAGAGUCCUGGCCGGACUCCAUGUCGCAGGCGGCGGCGGUCUCCACAUCGGGGACGAGGCGGACAACGCGGCUGGGCUGGGCCGGCUGGCUGGGCUUCGGCCCAGUCGGUGAAGAGAAGAUUUUUUUAAAUAAUUUCGCCGAAACUUAAAUAAAUCCUAGAAAUGUAAAUAAAAAUCUAAAAAUGCCAAAACAAAUUGUCACUGUCUAAAUAAAAUACUUAGAACAAGAUGAACAUUUUCUUGGCCCUAAAAUGCAAAUUUGAAAAACGUGCUAUUUUUCUAAUGCAAAUAAAAUAGCAAUAAAAUCCGAAUAAAAUCAAAUAUUUGAUUUUAAUAUUUUUCCUCCAAUAUUUCAAUUAUUUUGGAGAAUUCAUAUUAUCUCUCUGGAGAGAAAAAUAAUUAAAACCAAUAAUCCUCGUUUCAAUAUUUGAUAAAAUUCAAAUAUGAAAACAAUGAAAUCCCCAACUCUCUCCGAGGGUCCUUGAGUUGCUUAGGAUCUCGAGGAUCGCGAAACGAAAUGCAAUAAAAUAUGAUAUGCAUGAAUGAUCUAUAUGUAACAUUCUAAAUUGAAAAUUUGGGAUGUUACAACUCGAGACAUGGCUACUACCUAAGUCCGGAAUGUUGUGCAUGAUCAGGUACCAAGAAGGCCCUCUCGAAGAAGAACGUCGGAAGGAACCGGAGAAGUCCCUAGGUCCUGGACAUCCGGCCCCAAGCCCCGGACAACCGGCCCCUAGAGCAUCGUCCACAGCAGCCGCCAAGCACCUACAGGCCCCGGACAUCCGGCCAAGUCCAGAAAUCCAGCGCCCUCUAUCCAGAGAGCACAGAGGCCAACCCCGCCAGCCCAGACAUCUGCCCCCUAGCCUGGACAUCCGUCCCCUCGAGAAGGCCCGGACAUCAGGCCCGACGCCUAGACGUCCGGCCCUGUCUGUCUGCGCACAGUAAAGGGCCGAGGCCCCUAUACCCCUUCGCCCUCCUAGACUAUAUAUACUCCUCCUCCCUCUUUCUAGGGUUAGCAUUGGUUUAGCUCAUACUUGAGAUAGAGCUUUGCUCAUCCAUACGGUUCUACUCCACCGAGAGAGACCACAGCCUCUAGGGAGAAAAUCCACUUUGGAUUCAAGACCCCUUCAUGGGAUGACUCCUCAAGGCCUCCUCACGGAGAUGAACUAGUUACCUCUUGUAUCGUCCUUUGUUGGAUUCGGAUCAUGUAUCUCUUUGUGUUUCGAGGAUCUAGCAUAUGUGUGACCGAAUCUUGUUGGUUUGAGUGAUUCUCUCGUGUUUUCCCUUGUGUUUCCCCUCGUGUUCUUUGUGUUCCUCGUUGGGAUCCGCUCCUUUCGUGAAAGAUCGGGCAACUAGGGUUCUACCCUACAUCAUUACUUCUCCAUUGGAGUUCACGACCUCUUCGGAGAAGAUUCCCCAAGUGGAUUCAAGACCCCUCACGGGAAGACCCCCUCAAGGCCACCUCACGGAGAUGAACUAGUUACCUCUUGUAUCGUCCUUUGUUGGAUAUGGAUCAUCUAUCUUCUUGUGUUUCGAGGAUCUAGCACAUGUGUAAUCGAAUCUCGUUGGUUUGGAUGAUUCCUCUCAUGUUUCCCCUCGUGUUAUUCGUAGGAUCUCCUCCAUUUUGUGAAAGAUCGGGCAUCUAGGGUUCUACCCUACAUCAGAGGAGGCUCCUCGUUGCGUCAUAACCCAAGAAUUCAUGCUUCACAUGGUCUAUCGCCCGCCCCGCUACCACCCUCACUUUUUCACCAGUAGAUGCAUUAUUCUUAAAUGAUAAAUUACAUAACAGCUCUUCCUCAUUAUGUUUAUGCACACAAAAAAAUUAUAGGGCACCCCAAAUGGUGCAAGAUGGCUCGUCGGCGCGAUCAACUUACCCUGACAGUUGAAUUUAAAGGCCAUCCCCCGAUAUGGUAUCCACAAAACGACCACAAUUUGGCGAUAUAAAUUCCAUUUAGCUCCAUCACCCGCCAAAUAAACGUGCUACAUGUCCGUCACCCUCUUCGUCGGCGUCGACAACAUUUCGGGGGCCGGGUCCAGGUUAAAAAACCGAGUUUCGGAUUUUAUCUUUGACCAGUACUCUACCACCCUUCUGUGAGCUAACCCACGGACAGAUAUAUGGACAAUAACAUAUAGAGCAAUGCAUCAUCCUUCCAUUUUCAAUUCGGAAAGACUACAGGUUCAAUCAGGACAGAAGGAGGAGGCUCUUCGUUGCAUCGAAACCCAAGAAUUCAUGCUUUAUAUGGUCUAUCGCCCGCCCCACUACCACCCUCUCUUUUUCACCAGCAGAUGCGUUAUUAUUACAUGAUAAAGUACACAACAGCUCUUCCUCAUUAUGUUUAUCCACAUUAAAAAUUAUAGGGCAUCCCGAAUGGUGCAAGAUGGCUCGUCGGCGCGAUCAACUUACCCUGAAUGUUGAAUGCACGUGCCAUCCCCCGAUGUUGUAUCCACAAAAGGACCACAAUUUGGCGAUACGAACUCCAUUUGAGCUCCAUCACCCACCAAAAUGAUCACAACUAAAUGUGUUACGCGUCCAUCACCCUCUUCGUCGACGCCAACAACAUUUCGGGGGCCGGAUCCAGGUUAAAAACUGAGUUUCAGAUGAUUUUAUCUUUCACGUUUACUCUAUCACCCUUCUAUGAUCUCACCCACGGACAUAUAUAUGGACAAUAACAUAUAGAUCAAUACACCGUCCUUCCAUUUUCAAACCGGAAGGACUACAUGUUCAGUCAGGAGAGAAGGAGGAGGCUCCUCGUUGCAUCGAAAUCCAAGAAUUCAUGCUUUACAUGGUCUAUCGCCCGCCCCGCUGCCACCUUCACUUUUUCACCAACAGAUGCAUUAUUCUUAAAUGAUAAAGUACAUAACAGCUCUUCCUCAUUAUGUUUAUGCACACAAAAAAUUAUAGGGCAUCCCGAAUGGUGACAGAUGGCUCGUCGGCGCGAUCAACUUACCCUGAAAGUUAAUUUCACGGGCUAUCCCUCGAUGAUUUAUCCACGAAAGGACCACCAUUUGUCUAUAUGAACUCCAUUUGAGCUCCAUCACUGGCCAAAAUGAUCACAACUAAACGUGGUACGCAUCCAUCACCCUCUUCAUCGUCGUCGACAACAUUUCAGGGGCUGAAAAAUCGAGUUUCGGAUUAUUUUAUCUUUGACGUGUACUCUACCACCCUUUUGUGAGCUCACCCACGGACAGAUAUAUGGACAAUAACAUAUAGAGCAAUGCACCAUCCUUCCAUUUUCAAACCAGAAAUACAACAGGUUCAGUCAGGACAGAAGGAGGAGGCUCCUUGUUGCAUCGAAACCCAAUAAUUCAUGCUUUACAUGGUCUAUCGCCCGCCCCGCUGCCACCCUCACUUUUUCACCAGCAGAUGCAUUAUUCUUAAAUGAUAAAGUACAUAACAGCUCUUCCUCAUUAUGUUUAUGCACACGAAAAAUUAUAUGGCAUCCCGAAUGGUGCAAGAUGGCUCGUCGGUGCAGUGAACUUACCCUGAAAGUAGAUUUCACAGGCCGCCCCCCGAUGUUGUAUCCACAAAAGGACAAGAAUUUGGCCAUACGAACUCCAUUUGAGCUCCAUCACCGGCCAAAACGAUCACGCCAAUCAUGGUAUGCAUCCAUCACCCUCUUCAUCGGUGUCAACAACAUUUCGGGGGCCGGAUCCAGGUUGAAAAACCGAGUUUCAGAUUAUUUUAUCUUUGGCGUGUACUUUACCACCUUCUGUGAGCUCACCCACGGACAGAUACAUGGACAAUAAAAUCUAGAGCAAUGGACCAUCCUUCCAUUUUCAAACUAGAAAGACUACAUGUUCAGUCAGGAGAGAAGUAGGAGGCUCUUUGUUGCAUCGAAACCCAAGAAUUCAUGCUUUACAUGGUCUAUCGCCCGCCCCGCUACCACCCUCACUUUUUCACCAUCAGAUGCAUUAUUCUUAAAUGAUAAAGUACAUAACAGCUCUUCCUCAUUAUGUUUAUGCACACGAAAAAUUAUAGGGCAUCCUGAAUGGUGAAAGAUGGCUCGUCGGCGCGAUCAACUUACCCUGAAAGUAGAAUUCAUGGGCCGUCCCCCGAUGUUGUAUGCAGAAAAGGACCACAAUUUGGCCAUACAAACUCCAUUUGAGCUCCAUCACCGGCCAAAACGAUCCCAACUAAACGUGGUACGCGUCCAUCACGCUGUUCGUCGGUGUCGACAACUUUUCAGGGGCCGGAUCCAGGUUGAAAAACCGAGUUUCAGAUGAUUUUAUCUUUCACAUGUACUCUACCACCCUUCUGUGAGCUCACCCAUGGACAAAUAUAUGGACAAUAACAUAUAGAGCAAUGCACCAUCCUUCCAUUUUCAAACCGAAAGGACUACAUGUUCAGUCAGGAGAGAAGGAGGAGGCUCUUCAUUGCAUCGAAACCCAAGUGAUGUAGGGUGGUACCCUAGAUGGCCGAUCUUUCAGGAAAGGAGCAGAUCCCAACGAGGAACAUGAAGAACACGAGGGAGAAAAUGAGAGGAAACACGAGAGAAUCACUCAAACCAACAAGAUACGGUCACAGAUGUGCUAGAUCCUCGAAACACAAAGAGAUACACGAUCCAUGAUCAACAAGGGACGAUAUAUAGGGUAACUGGUUCUUCCCCGUGAGGUGGUCUUGAUGGGGCCACCUGAGAGGGGGUCUUGAAUCCAACAUGGAUUUUCUCCGAAGAGGGGUCGCGGUCUCUCUCGAGGAGUAGAUUAGUAUGGAUGACCGAGGCUCUAUCUCACAAAUGAGCUAUCACAACACUGAACCUAGAAAGAGGGAGGAGGAGUAUAUAUAUUGUAGGUGGGCAAAGGGGUACAUGGGCCUCGGGCCCUUACAUUGUGCGCAGACAGGGGAGGCCAGAUGUCCGGGCUGUCGGGGCCGGCCUUAACACUCUCUGGAUAGAUGGGGUCAGGAUGUCCGCGCGAUGGGCCAGAUGUCCGGAGGCUCGGGGCGGGCCAGAUGUCCGGGCUGGGGGUCCGGAUGUCCGGGUUGGCGGGGUCGGCCUCGGUGCUCUCUGGAUAGAGGGUGCUGGAUUUCCGGACUUCGGGCUGGAUUUCCGGGCUGGGCAGGAUGUCCGGGGCCUGUAGGUGCUUGGCGGCUGGGUGACUGUUGUGGGUGAUGCUCCAGGGGCCGGAUGUCCGGGGUCAUGGCCGGGUGUCCAAAGCCUGGAGGCUGUUCUUGACUCCUUCCGUUGGUUCUCUUCGUCCGUGAACUUGGAGGCCUGUUCAUCUUCACGUGCAUCUUCGGGAGGGUCCUCUUGAUACCUAAUCAUGCACAACAUCCGGACAUAGGUAGUAGCCAUGUCUCGAGUGGAUCAUAUGUGAAAUCACUAAGGAAGGAAGUCACCUCGGUCUCGAGAGCUCUAGCUCGUGCUCGUGUCAUGGGUCCGCUUGGCACUUGGUGAGAUGGUGGUAGGUCCAUGGGGAUGACCAUAGGAUGCCCCGCAUCAUCUCCCCUCCAUUGGGAAAGAUCCGACCUCGGGUCAAAAUCCUCAUCACCAUGGUACGGGGAGAGAUCUUUGAUGUUGAAGAUGUCGCUCCUGGAGUACUUGUUGCAUGGAAUGUCAAUCUUGUAAGCGUUGUUGUUGUAGCGUGCAAGCACCUUGAAGGGUCCAUCAGCUCGAGGUAGAAGUUUGGACUUGCGUUCAUUGGGGAAACAGUCCUUCCAAAGGUGUAGCCACACAAGAUCUCCGGUGUUGAAUAUCAUGGGUUGCUUGUUGAUGUUGAGCUUGGUCGCGAGUCAUUGUACUUGGCGCUCAAUGGUGUGCCUUGUAUCUUCAUGCAUCUUCUUGAGUAAGUUCACUCGGGCACUCGCGUCCAUGUUGGUGCGCUCUUGUAUUGGAAGAGGAAGAAUGUCCAAUGGGGACAACGGGUUGAAACCGUAGACGACCUCGAAGGGGGACUUGCCGGUAGUCGAAUGUCUUGCACGGUUGUAGGCGUACUCGGCGAUAGGUAGGCAUUCCUCCCACUCCUUGAUGUUCUUCUUUAUCAACACGCGUAGUAGAGUGGAGAGCGUACGGUUCGUUACCUCCGUUUGGCCGUCGGUUUGGGGAUGGUAUGCCGAAGAGAACAAGAGCUUGAUUCCGAGCUUGGUGCAUAAGGUCUUCCAAAAGUAACUCAAGAACUUGACAUCGCGGUCCGAGACAAUCGUCUAUGGCACUCCAUGUAGGAGCAAGGUUUCCCUACAAAAAAGAUUUGCAACAUGUGAAGCAUCGUCUAUCUUGUUGCAUGGUAUGAAAUGUGCCAUUUUAGAGAAUCGGUCCACAACAACAAAGACUGAAUCCUUUCCAUUUCUAGUUCUAGGCAAACCAAGCACAAAAUCCAUACUAAUAUCUUCCCAUGGUUGAUAUGGAAUUGGGAGAGGCAUGUAAAGGCCAUGAUAUUGAGCUUUGGAUUUAGCUUUGCGACAUGUCGAACAUCGGUUGGUGAAGCAUGAGACGUCGCGGAACAUCUUGGGCCAAUAAUAGUUCUUGGAGAGCAUAGCAAAUGUCUUGUCAUGUCCAAAGUGUCCCAUUAGUCCGCCUCCAUGAGAUUCUUGCAAAAGCAACAAACAAAGAGAAGACUCGGGGAUGCAAAGUGUCUUAGCUCUCAUAAGAUAAUCAUCUUUGAUGUAAUAGCAUUUCCAAGAUGUAUGCAUCAAACAAUUGGCAUAAGGAAUUGCAAAAGUAGGAUCAUGCUCAUACAAGUCUUUUAUGUGCUCAAAGCCAAUGACAUUUAAUUCAAGUUUAGUAACAAGCAUGCAUAUACGGGAAAGUGCAUCUGCCACAACAUUUUCGUUGCCUUUGAUAUACUUGAUGACAUAAGGAAAAGACUCAAUAAAUUCACUCCAUUUAGCAUGACGCUUGUUCAACUUAGUUUUGACCCUUAAGAUACUUAAGCAUUUCAUGAUCGGUAUGGAUGAUAAAUUCAUGAGGGCGAAGAUAAUGUUCCCAUUCACGCAAAACUCACACUAAAGCAUAUAGCUCUUUGUCAUAGAUGGGAUAAUUGAGUUGCGCUCCGGAGAGUUUCUCGCUAAAGUAUGUUAUGGAGCGCUUCUCUUGCGUUAACACACCUCCUAUGCCAUUACGGCUAGCAUCGCAAUGAAUUUCAAAGGGUUUGUCAAAGUUGGGUAAUGCAAGCGCGGGAGCAUGAGUAAGCAAAUUCUUAAGCUCAUUUUGGGGUUAGAGAAAAUAAAUGAUAAUGCAUAUAAACUUGAGCUGCCUGCAGAUUUUGGGGUUAGUCCCACUUUUAACAUUGCAGAUUUGAAGCCUUAUUUGGGUGAGGAAGAUGAACUUUCGUCGAGGACGACUUCAUUUCAAGAAGGGGAGGAUGAUGAGGACAUCAAUACAAUUGUUACACCCACAGCCCCUGCUGCUAUACAUACUGGACCAAUUGUUACACCCACAGCCCCUGCUGCUAUACAUACUGGACCAAUUACUAGAGCUCGUGCACACCAACUAAAUUACCAGGUACUUUCGUUUCUUGGUAAUGAUUCUAAUGUUCAUGAGAAUAUGAUGCUGCCUAAAUUGGAUACAUUUGUUUUGCUUACAAAUGAAGGGCCUAGCUUGGAGAAGGAUGAACAUUGGAGCAAGAACAAGCAUGGAGAUGAUGGCAUGCGCAAGGGGAACAAGAACGGAGUUACAAGUGAUGAUUUCAGGACUUUGAAGCCACCAUAAUGGGUGCAUGAAGCCUUGGAAGAAAUAUACAAGAUGCCACUUCAUAAAUUUCGUCCCGAGGCUAUUUUAGGUGCUGCGUCACCUUAUUAUUGGGCCAGGCCCAUGUAAUUUCGAAAUACAUAAGUAUAGGCUAUUUCUAGAGUACGUAUGUGUGGGGAAACAAGAGAUAGGGUUGAUUUCGGACCCCUCCACCAAGGGCCACGAAAUUCCCCCCCUCUUCCUCCAUAUAUACAGCCCUUAGGGAAUCGUUUAGACUUCGGGUUUUGUUUAGAUUAAAAGUUCGCCAUAGUUGCAACUUCGCGUACUUCGUUUGUGUUCAACGACCAGACAAAGGCGUCACAGAACCCCACCUUGAUCAAUAAAGCUUUUCAUCUUAUAUUCGCAAUAUCCAGAUUGCAAUCUCAGUUUCUUGCUUGUUCUUCGUUUGCUCGCAGGAAACAGACCCUCGUGGUCAGGUUGAUCGUGCUCCGGCGUGGUCAAUAACCUCUCGGAGUUGGUUUAGCGAUUGCUAAGGCGCGACGUCCUCGCACGUUCGUAGUCGGAUUUUCAAAGUCGACUGCCACCAAAGCGAUAUCCAUCAUCUCAUCGAAAGACGGGACACCUUUUCCUCUAUCAGACGCUCUUUCGAAAAGUUUGCAAUACGGUUCGAAGGUGGGUGACAUGAUCUUUGAGAUAUUUGCUAAAAACAAGGAUAUCGUCGAAGUAGACUACAACGAACUCACCAAUGUAAGGGCGAAAUACAUAAUGCAUAAGACGCAUGAAAGUACCGGGUGCUUCUAAUAAACCCAUAGGCAUAACUAACCACUCAUACAAACCAAACUUUUUUUUGAAAGCAAUUUUCCAUUCAUGACCCUCUUGUAUGUGUAUUUGAUAGUAACCACUUUUGAGGUCAAUUUUGGAGAAAAUAGUCGUACCUCUAAGUUCAUCUAGCAUAUCAUCAAGGUGUGGAAUGGGGUGCCUAUAGCGAAAGGUGAUAGCAUUGAUAGGUCUACAAUGGGAAUACAUGCGAAAUCUACAGUCUCUUUUUGGCACAAGAAUGACCGAUACGGCACAAGGACUCAAACUUUCACGCACAUGUCCAUGGUCUAUGAGAUGUUUUACUUGCCUUUGUAUUUCUUUGGUUUCUUCGGGGUUGACACAAUAUGGAGCCUUGUUCGGAAGUGGUGCUCCGGGGAUGAGGUCGAUGCGGUGCUCGAUGCCUCAUAGUGGAGGUAGACCCGGAGGUAGCUCAUCGGGGAAAACAUCUUGGAAUUCAUGCAAUAGAGAAGAUAACACCAAAUGUAUAUUGUGAGAGGUGUUAGUUUUUGGUGCCUCGUCCUUGCACAAAAGGACAUAGUGCAUGACACUUGAUGGGUUCUCACACACUUCUCUCAUCUCACAUUUGGUGGCAAAUAGGACUAAGUUCUUCUUGUCGCUCAUGGAGGCACUCAAUUUGGGCUUGUGGCACUCACUCUCUUUUUGGUGGUUCGCUCUCUCACUAUUCUCUCCACGAUGGGUGGCUUGCUUGUCGGUGAUCACUUGGCUUGGAGACAUAGGUCGUAGCACAUACUCCUUCCCUUUCAACUUGAAGCUAUAGUGGUUUGUACGCCCUUUGUGGAUGAUGCCUCGAUCAAAUUGCCAUGGCCGUCCAAGAAGGAGGUGGCAAACGGACAUUGGAAAGACAUCACACUCCAAAGUGUCUUCGUAAGCUCCGAUCAUGAAGGAAACUUGUACCCUAUGCUCGACUUGGAUAGUGUCGGAGUCGCUUAGCCAUUGAACAUUGUAGGGUUGCAGGUGCUUCAUUUUGAUCAAUUUUAGAUUGGAACAUAAUUCUUCACUUGCUAAGUUAUGGCAACUCCCUCCAUCGAUGAUAACCUUGACGGACCUUCCAUUGAUGUCGGCCUUGGUGUGGAAGAUAUGGCAUCUUUGGUCUUCGUCUUGUUGAUGUUGAAGAGUCAAGACCUUGGAGACAACGAGAGCGGGGCUCGAAUCUUCGUCACAAAAUACUUGAUCAUCUUCAUCUUCGUUCACACGCCGGUGCAUGGGCACUUGCUCAAGGGCUUCCAUCUCCUCUUCACUCUUGAGACAUAGGUUCCGUCGUCGUUGAGGAUCAUGGUGCGCUUGUUGGUACAUUCAUAGGACUUGUGGCCUCGUCCGCCGCAUGUGAAGCAUUUGAAGGAACUUGUCUUGACGGUCUCAUCGGUUGGGGUAGAUGAUGAUGAAGCUCUCGACUUGAAGUUGCUUGUGGUAGGAGGACGACUCGAGGUUGUCGAAGUUUUCUUGAAACUUGACUUGUCGCCGUUGCUUGUAGAUGGCUUGGUUUAAGUAGAACGUGUUGGAGUCGUUGAAGCUUGGGUGUUCGAGAAGACAUAGGACUUGGAUGAGAGCUUAGCAUACUUGAAGUUCCGCCUUGGUAGCUUGAUGCACUAGCUCGAUGAGGUUCGAGUAUGGUUGGAAGUCGGCGAUCUUCUUGAUAUGAUGAUUUAGCCCAUUGAAGAAACGUGCCAUAGUUUGCUCGUCAUUUUCCAUGACAUUGGCUCAUAUCAUGGCAAUCUUCAUUUCCUUGUAGUAUUCUUCAAUGCUCUUGGUUCCUUGCUAGAGGAGUUGGAGUUUCUUGAAGAGGUCGCAGUUGUAGGUUGGCACGAAGCGUGCUCUCAUGACAUCCUUCAUUUGCGCCCAAGUUGUGAUGGGUUGUUCACCUCUUGCCGCUCGGCGCUCAAUGACUUGUUCCCACCAAAUGAGGAUGUAGUCUUGUAACUCAAGGGAUGCCAUCACGAUCUUCUUAUCUUCCUCAUAGUUGUGCAAGCGAAAGAUUUUGUCAACCUUCAAUGCCCAUGAAAGGUACUCUUCGGGAUCAUUGCUUCCAUUAAACUUGGGCAUGGUGAACUUUAGCUUGCUUUAUCGUUGCUCAUCAUUGUGUUUGGGUCGGGGAUGGUGACGUCCUUGACGAGGAGGAUUGGCUCCCUCAACUUGCUCUUGUCUUGGGGGAUAUCCGUUGUCUUCUUGCUCUUGGUGAACUUGAGGUUCUUGUCUAGCUUAUAUAGGAGCUUGUCGAGCUUGACGAUGUAUGCGAGCUUGAUAUAUUCUUUCAUGAACUUCAUCACGAAGCGCUUCUUGGUUCUCACGAGCUUGUCGGUUGCACGUGCCUAUGGCUAGGCUUGAAUAUCGGAGGGCAUGUUGCGCCUCAAGUGCUUGAGCUUCGUGUAGUUGUUGUUCUUGACGUUGUGUUUCGACAUCUUGUGCAUCUUGGUGUUGGCGCGCUCGCUCUUCCUCUUGUUGUUUGCGUAGGCGUUGCCGUUCUUGUGCUUGCACGAAAGUAGCUUGCUUUUGACGGUGUCGAUGUUCUUGUGCGCGAGCUUGCUCUUGAGAGACGGUGUCAUGUAGCGGGUUGUGGUUGGCGUGAUGGUCUUGGCGCGCGGCACGACAAAAAGUGUUUGAUGUCGGAGUACUUGAGCCGGACUUUGCUUAUCUUUCCUCUUUUGCUUAAAUGGUUGUUUGGCUCUUUGUCUUUUGAGCUCUUUUCUCAUGCAAAACUUCACGAACCAGGAUAGCAAUUGUGUAUAUGUGAUGACAAACUUGUGACACUAGAGAUGAUACCAAGAUAUGCACGACUAUGAUAUGGUAUGUAUGACAUGGGAAGUAUGAACACUAAUGUGCACAAGUCACACUGCCGGCAAUACUCAAAGGCUAGUCUCGAUGGGUAAGGUACGCAAAUAUGGGCUAUGUGGUUAUCAAUGUAAUGGCAAGGAGUAGACAAAGAUGUCGUCGAGAUUAUCGUCCAUGGUAUGUCGGGUGUAGGCAAGGACGAAUGAUGAUGAGGUUGUUGUCGAGUCUGUGGCGAAGAUGAGUGGCGGUGAUGUUGAUGUCGAACCGUACCUAAAUAGCCAAAACACAAUAGGACACGGGAACCGCAACUCAAAUUCUCAAAGCAAAACGUGUCAAAAUUCUUGGGGUUGGUAGCGGGUAAGCGAUGGUGGUACUAUGAGGAAGUGGUGGUGUUAUGAUGUGUUGUAUGUGGGCACUGGAACAAAAUUUGGCGAGAGUUAGGCGGGAAACGGGGCGGUGGAUGGAAGUGUUGCUGUCAGGGCCGGAUGUCCGGGCUUGAGGGCUGGAUGUCCGGGCUGGAGGGCCGGAUGUCCGGGGUGGUUGGAUGUCCGGGCAUCGGGCCGGAUGUCCGGGCUCGGGAUCCGUGGAUGAACUCGAGGAACUCCGCGUGGAGAGGUCAAAUCCGGGGCAAAAUUAGGAAGAUUUUGUGGAUGGAAUUUGGGGAAAAGAUGGGGGAAAGCUAGAUCUACAUGCUAAACAUGAAAUCCGUGGAUCAAAUCCAACAAAACUUCAUCACACCAACAAAUCACAAAAAAAAAUUGGGGGGCUAUUUUUGUGGGGAAUUUUCGAAUUUGGGACAAAAUCAAGAAAACAAGGCUAGAAAACAAAGGGGGGAGGCUCCGAAAUAGUGAUCAGUGUGGCUCUUGAUACCAAGAUGAUGUAGGGUGGAGCCCUAGAUGGCCGAUCUUUCACGAAAGGAGCGGAUCCCAACGAGGAACACGAAGAAUGCGAGGGGGAAACAAGGGGAAACACAAGGGGAAACACGAGAGUAUCACUCAAACCAACAAGAUACGGUCACACAUGUGCUAGAUCCUCUAAACACAAAGAGAUACACGAUCCACGAUCGACAAGGGACGAUACACAGGGUAACCAGUUCUUCUCCGUGAGGAUGUCUUGAUGGGGCCACCCGAGAGGGGGUCUUGAAUCCAAUGUGGAUCUUCUUCGAAGAGGGGCCGCGGUCUCUCUCGAGGAGUAGAUCCGUAUGGAUGAGCGAGGCUCUAUCUCACAAAUGAACUAUCACAACGCUUACCCUAGAAAGAGGGAGGAGGAGGAGUAUAUAUAGUCUAGGUGGGCGAAGGGGUACAUGGGCCUCGGGCCCUUACACUAUCCGCAGACAGGGGAGGCCAGAUGUCCAGGCGUCGGGCCGGAUGUCCGGGCCCUCGCAAGUUGCAGGAUGUCCGGGCUGGUGCCGGAUGUCCGCGCUGUCGGGGCCAGCCUUGACUCUUUCUGGAUAGACGGGGUCCGGAUGUCCGGGCGAUGGGCCGGAUGUCCGGAGGCUCGGGGCAGGCCGGAUGUCCGGGCUGGGGGUCCGAAUGUCCGAGCAAGCGGGGUCGGCCUUGGUGCUCUCUGGAUAGAGGGUGCCGGAUUUCUGGGCUGGGGCCGGAUGUCCGGGGCCUAUAGGUGCUUCACGGCUGGCCGGCUUGUGACGCCUGGAUAAUUAGGCUACAGUAAUCCCCCAUUAAUGAUGCCACAUCACCUGUGUCACUGUAGUUAGUCUUGGGUUAGUUCAAAAACCGAUUCAAAAUUCAAAUUCAAAAUCAAGUCAAACAAUUAAAGUUUUCAAAAGUCAAAACUAAAAUGUUCUCAAUGUGACAAAUAAAUCAUGGAUAAUACUGGUGGAGAAACCACACUUUUAUAAAAUGUUUAAAUACUCUAAAAUGAAUAAAACAGUAGCAAAAACAAUUAUUUAAAUGCCUUUAAAUAAUCAACAAUUUCAAAACCGAAUUGUCAUAAGUAUUAAACUAUUGUGGCAGUGGCAUAAUUUGUAGCAUCUAUUUAGGUGCCACUUUGGUAUUUUACUAAAACUAAAAUAAAAGGAAACUAAAAGAAAACAAAAAUAGAAAAAUUAAUAAAAAGUAAAAGAAACCGAAGAGAGGGAAAAGAACCCCCGCUUCCCCCACUGGGCCUCGACCCAGCCGGCCCAGUCGGCCACCCCAUCUGGCCCAGGCCGACCCCACUCCCCCGUAACUCCCUGGGCGGCCAAACCCUAAUCCCCCAACGCACCCACUCGCCCCACUCCCCCACCCACGUCGCACCCUCCCCUGAUCCCGAUCUAGAUUGGGGCAUCACCCGUCGCCAUCGUCAGAGGACCCCGCCGGAGGCCACCUCGCGGGAGCCACCCCGCCGGAUCGCCGCUCGCCUCCCCGUUGCCUAGUCGUAACCGUCCUCCUCCUCAACCCCNNNNNNNNNNNNNNNNNNNNNNNNNNNNNNNNNNNNNNNNNNNNNNNNNNNNNNNNNNNNNNNNNNNNNNNNNNNNNNNNNNNNNNNNNNNNNNNNNNNNNNNNNNNNNNNNNNNNNNNNNNNNNNNNNNNNNNNNNNNNNNNNNNNNNNNNNNNNNNNNNNNNNNNNNNNNNNNNNNNNNNNNNNNNNNNNNNNNNNNNNNNNNNNNNNNNNNNNNNNNNNNNNNNNNNNNNNNNNNNNNNNNNNNNNNNNNNNNNNNNNNNNNNNNNNNNNNNNNNNNNNNNNNNNNNNNNNNNNNNNNNNNNNNNNNNNNNNNCGCGCCUGCAGCCGCGCCCGCUCGCGCCCGCUCGCUCCUCGACGCGCCCGUGGCGCGUCCCGCGGCCCCUGCUCGCCGCUGCUGCUGCGCACCCAGCAAACUGCCCUCGCCCCUGCAAGCCUCGCCCCGCUCGCAACCCGCGCCGCUGCCCCCGCCCUUCAAUAGUGUCCCGUCUUCCCUGCACGCGCGCCCACUGUCCCUGUUCGCGCGCAGCUGCACCCCCUUCACCAUCGCUGCUGCCUUGUGCCGCUACUGCCCCGUGACGCUGCCUUGCUCCAUGCACGCCCUCGGGCCACCUCGUGCUCCUCUCGACCCGCGGGCAUCGCCGUUGCCCCGUUUCUUGUCGCUGCACCGGCCGCCGCUCUUGCCGCUCGCGCGCACCUGACCGCGGCGGCCCCGCUCGGCCGCUCCCUCGCUUAGCUGCCUCUCCCUUCCCGCUAGCCCAUACCGGUGGCCUCGCCGUGGCCGGGCCCCGCGCCCGCUGGCCGCGUCGAGGCCGGCGCCCACACCCCCACUCCGGCCCCGUUCCAGCCUCGCCUCAUUACUAGGCAGGGCUGCGGCUUCGCUCGCACCUCCCUGCCCGUAUGCCCUUUAAGGCCCCUGUGCCUAUGACCAGUGGGCCCACGCCCCAGAACGAAAAAAAAGAAUUAAAUAAAUAAAUAAAAUUAAUUAAGAUAUUAAUUGAUUAAUUAAUUAACUUAAUUAAUCCUGAUUAGAUUAAUCUAAUCACUUAGUUUAGUUAAUUAAUCUAUUAGGUUAGUUAGUAGUCAAUGACAGCUGGGACCCACACGUCAGUUUGACCCAGUCAACGCCCUGUUGACUGCUGAUGUCAUGCUGACCUCAUGAUGAUGUCAGCACACACUAUUCUGGAUAAUGUUGAUUUAAAAUAAUUAAAUAAAUUCUAAAAAUAAUUAAAACUUUAGAAAAUCAUAUAAAAUAAUCCAUAACUCGGAUAAAAAAACUUUGUACAUGAAAGUUGCUCAGAACGAUGAGACGAUUCCGGAUACGCAUCUCGUUCGUCCGCCACACAUCCCUAGCAUAGCAAACAUGCAACUUUCCCCCUCCGGUUCAUCUGUCCAAAAACACCGGGAAUACUUUCUCGGAUGUUUCCCCCCUUCGUCGGUAUCACCUCCUACCGCGUUAGGGCACACCUAGCACCGCUCAUUGUCAUGUCAUGCAUCGUCAUGCUUAUGUAUGCAUUAUAUUUUUUGUUUCUUCCCCCUCUUCUCUCGUUAGACAUCGAGACCGACGGCACUGUUACCCAGUACGACUACGGUGUUGAUGACCCCUCCUUCUCGGCUGAGCUUCCAAGCAAGCCCCCCUUGAUCACCUGAUAUCGCCUAUUCUUCUCUCUACUGCUUGCAUUAGUGUAGUGUAGCAUGUUAGUGCUUUCCGUUAAUCCUAUCCUGAUGCAUAGCCUGUCCUUGCUACUACUGUUGUUACCUUUACCUGCAAUCCUACAUGCUUAGUAUUGGAUGCUAGUAUUCCAUCUGUGGCCCUACAUUCUUGUCCGUCUGCCAUGCUAUACUAUCGGGUCGUGAUCACUCGGGAGGUGAUCACGGGUAUAUACUUAUAUACAUAAUGUAUGAUACUUGUGGUGACUAAAGUCGGUUCGGCUCAUAGAGUACCGGUGAGUGAUUCACGGAUUGGGGGAUGAAAGGACCUUUGUCCCGACGGCCCUCAGGGUGGAUCUUUGUGGCGGAGCGACAGGGUAGGUUGAGACCACCUAGGUGAGAGGUGGGCCUGGCCCUGGUCGGUGUCCGCGGUUACUUCAUAAUAACACGCUUAACGAGAUCUUGGUAUUUGAUCCGAGUUGGGUCGUUGACCUUAUACGCACUAACCGCCACGUGGGACAAGAUAUGGGCAACCGACGUCGUGGUAUAAGCCGAAGCCUUCAUGACGUCAGUGACUGAGCGGCGCGCGCCGGAUUGGACUGGAACGCCUGCUCUUGUAUUAGGGAGGCUAGGUCUGCUUUCGGUCGCGUUCGCAACGUGCAGGUGUGCAAUGGGCGAUGGGCCCAGACCCCUACACCGUAUGAUUUAGACCGACGUGCUGACCUCUGUGUUGUGCCUAGGUAGGGCUGCGACGCGUUGAUCUUCUGAGGCCGGGCAUGACCCAGGAAAUUGUGUUCAGCCAAAGGGGAUCGAGCGUGUCGGGUAAUGUGGUGCACCCCUGCAGGGAAGUUUAUCUAUUCAAAUAGCCGUGAUCUUCGGUAACAGGACGACUUGGAGUUGUACCUUGACCUUAUGACAACUAGAACUGAAUACUUAAUAAAACACACCCUUUCAAGUGCUAGAUACAACCCGGUGAUCACUCUCUAACAGGGCGACGAGGGGAGGAUCGCCGGGUAGGAUUAUGCUAUGUGAUGAUACUUGGUGAACUUACCAUCUACUCUCUUCUACAUGUCGCAAGAUGGAGGCUGCCAGAAGCGUAGUCUUCGAUAGGAUUAGCUAUCCCCCUCUUAUUCUGGCAUCCUGUAGUUCAGUCCACCGAUAUUGCCCUUUACACAUAUCCCCAUGCAUAUGUAGUGUAGAUCCUUGCUUGCGAGUACUUUGGAUGAGUACUCACGGUUGCUUUGCUCCCCCUUUCCCCCUUUGUAUACCUGGUUGUCGCAACCAGAUGCCGGAGCCCAGGAGCCAGACGCCACUGUCAACGAUGACUCCUACUACACCGGAGGUGCCUACUACUACAUGCAGGCCGCUGACGACGACCAGGAGUAGUUUAGGAGGAUCCCAGGUAGGAGGCCUGUGCCUCUUUCGAUCUAUAUCCCAGUUUGUGCUAGCCAUCUUAUGGCAACUUGUUUAACUUAUGUUUGUACUCAGAUAUUGUUGCUUCUGCUGACUCGUCUAUGACCGAGCACUUGUAUUCGAGCGCUCGAGGCCCCUGGCUUGUAUUAUGAUGCUUGUAUGACUUAUUUUAUUUUUAGAGUUGUGUUGUGAUAUCUUCCCGUGAGUCCUUGAUCUUGAUCGUACACGUUUGCGUGUAUGAUUAGUGUACGAUUGAAUCGGGGGCGUCACAAGUUGGUAUCAGAGACGACUGCCUAUAGGAAUCCCCCUUCCACACUCCUUGGUUGAAGUUUAGUCUAGUCAAUGAAAACUAUUUUACUAACAUGGCUGUGCGGCCCAUGGGCCCACGUCGCCAUUGGGUGGUAUUAGGAUCUUUUAUUUCUCAAACUAUACUCCGGGACUCUAAUCUCUCUUCUAUUCGGAUUAAACGAUUUUACUAAACUCUGACUCUAGGUUCUCGUAACCACUUCCUCCCGGAGAGCCCCACACUGAAGAUGAUUGCUCGGUGCAUCGAAGGUUUCCAAAGAUACUCUCCGAUGUUCUCUCGAGGCUUUGUGUCAUUGCUAUAGCAAUUCCCUUCCAUCGAUAAACCCUUAUGGAUAACCAUGUGCACUUGCCAUUGAUAAAAUCAUUCCCCGUUGAUCUUCUUAUCGCAAGAUACCCCGAAAUUCUUGCUAUUGUUCCGAGGUUACUUGGUGCCUAUUGCCUUGCAGUUCUUGCCACAUGAAUACCCCCUACGGAUAAUUGCUCACGCUUACAGAGACCAGUUCUUUCCCCAUUGUUCUUAUGAUUCAUAAGAUACGUGGAAAUACUAUCUGAUCUUUCGAUAAUCCUCUGCCCGCUAUUGCUCUCCAAAUACUUGUCUUUUGGCAUUAUGGUUGCAUUCCAUAUGUCUGGCAAUAUUCAUUAGUCUCCUUUGACACCGUCAUUUUGAUCCUAUUGAUUCAAUAUGAGUGCGAAUGCACGCAAUCAUCGAUUGAUCCUUUUAAAUUAUAUUUCUGGCUCAGAUGUCAUUUUGAACAUGAACUGGAUCUUGGCCAAUCAAAUUGUUGUCGAUUUUACCCCUAAGCUUACUCAACUUAUCCAUCCUUAAUUAGAGCGUUUGCGUCUGAUCUUUUGAUGGGGAAAUCAUAAUUCCUUUACAUGUGAGCUUUGAAUUAGUCCGUUGCUUCUCCUACAUGUGAGCUGACGACGACCAGGAGUAGUUUAGGAGGAUCCCAGGCAGGAGGCUUGCGCCUCUUUCGAUCUGUAUCCCAGUUUGUGCAAGCCAUCUUAUGGCAACUUGUUUAACUUAUGUAUGUACUUAGAUGUUGUUGCUUCCGCUGACUCGUCUAUGAUUGAGCACUUGUAUUCGAGCCCUCGAGGCCCCUGCUUGUAUUAUGAUGCUUGUAUGACUUAUUUUAUUUUUAGAGUUGUGUUGUGAUAUCUUCCCGUGAGUCCUUGAUCUUGAUCGUACACGUUUGCGUGUAUGAUUAUUGUACGAUGGGGCUUCACACUGCUGCUAUGGACGAUGCUCCAGGGGCCGGAUAUCCAGGGUCAUGGCCAGAUGUCCGGGGCCUGGAACCUGUUCUUGAAUCCUUCCGUUGGUUCUCUUCGUCCAUGAACUUGGAGGCUUGUCCGUCUUCACGUGCAUCUUAGGGAGGGUCCUCUUGAUACCUAAUCAUGCACAACAUCUCGGACUUAGGUAGUAGCCAUGUCUCGAGUGGAUCAUACGUGAUAUCACUAAGGAAGGAAGUCACCUCGGUCUCGAGAGCUCUAGCUCAUGCUCGUGUCAUGGGUCCGCUUGGCACUUGGUGAGACGAUGGUAAGUCCAUGGGGAUGACCAUAGGAUGCUCCGCAUCACCAAGAAUUCAUGAUUUACAGGGUCUAUCUCCCGCCGCGCUACCACCCUCACUUUCUUACCAGUAGAUGCAUUAUUCUUAAAUGAUAAAGUACAUAAUAGAUCUUCCUCAUUAUGUUUAUGCACACAGAAUUUUUUAGGGCAUCCCGAAUGGUGAAAGAUGGCUCAUCGGCGCGAUCAACUUACCCUGAAAGUUGAUUUCACGGGCGGUCCCCUGAUGUUUUAUCCACAAAUGGACCACAAUUUGUCCAUAGGAACUCUAUUUGAGUUCCGUCACCGGCCAAAACAAUCACAACUAAGCGUGGUACGCGUCCAUCACCCUCUUUGUUGGCGUUGACAAUAUUUCGGGGGCCGGAUCAAGGUUGAAAAAUCGAAUUUCGGAUGAUUUUAUCUUUGACGUGUACUCUACCACCCUUUUGUGAGCUCACCCAUGGACAGAUAUAUGGACAAUAACAUAUAGAGCAAUGCACCAUCCUUCCAUUUUCAAACCGGAAAGACAACAGGUUCAGUCAGGAUAGAAGGAGGAGGCUCCUCGUUGCAUCGAAACCCAAGAAUUCAUGCUUUAGUCUUUCGCCCGCCCUGCUGCCAACCUCAGUUUUUCACCUGCAGAUGCAUUAUUCUUAAAUGAUAAAGUACAUAACAGCUCCUCCUCAUUAUGUUUAUGCACACAAAAAAUUAUAGGGCAUCCCGAAUGGUGCAAGAUGGCUCGUCGGCGCAAUCAACUUACCCUGAAAGUAGAUUUCACAGGCUGUCCCCCAAUGUUGUAUCCACAAAAGGACCACAAUUUGGCUAUAAGAACUCCAUUUGAGCUCCAUCACUGGCCAAAACGAUCACGACUAAUCAUGGUACGCGUCCAUCACCCUCUUCAUCGGCGACGACAUCAUUUCGGGGGCCGGAUCCUGGUUGAAAAACCGAGUUUCGAUUAUUUUAUCUUUGACGUGUACUUUACCACCCUUCCGUGAGCUCACCCACGGACAGAUAUAUGGACAAUAAAAUCUAGAGCAAUGCACCAUCGUUCCAUUUUCAAACCAGAAAGACUACAUGUUCAGUCAGGAGAGAAGGAGGACGCUCUUCGUUGCAUCGAAACCCAAGAAUUCAUGCUUUACAUGGUCUAUCGCCCGCCCCGCUACCACCCUCACUUUUUUUACCAGUAGAUGCAUUAUUCUUAAAUGAAAAAGUACAUAACAGCUCUUCCUCAUUAUGUUUAUGCACACAAAAAAUUAUAGGGCAUCCCGAAUGGUGCAAGGUGGCUCGUCGGCGCGAUCAACUUACCCUGAAAGUGGAUUUCACGGGCGGCCCCCCGAUGUUUUAUCCUUAAUAGGACCACAAUUUGGCCAUACGAACUCUAUUUGAGCUCCAUCAUCGGCCAAGUUGAUCACAACUAAACGUGGUACGCAUCCAUCACCCUCUUUGUCGGCAUCGACAACAUUUCGGGGGCCGGAUCCAGGUUGAAAAACUGAGUUUUGGAUGAUUUUAUCUUUGACGUGUACACUACCACCCUUCUGUGAGCUCACCCACGGACAGAUAUAUGGACAAUAACAUAUAGAGGAACGGACCAUCCUUCCAUUUUCAAACCGGAAAGACUACAAGUUCAGUCAGAACAGAAGGAGGAGGCUCUUUGUUGCACCGAAACCCAACAAUUCAUGCUUUUACAUGGUCUAUCGCCCGCCCGGCUACCACCCUCACUUUUUCACCAACAUAUGCAUUAUUCUUAAAUGAUAAAGUACAUAACAGCUCUUCCUCAUUAUGUUUAUGCACACGAGAAAUUAUAGGGCAUCCCGAAUAGUGCAGGAUGGCUCGUCAGCGCGAUCAACUUACCUUGAAAGGUGAAUUCAUGGGCCGUCCCACUGUGUUGUAUCCAGAAAAGGACCACAAUUUGGCCAUACGAACUCCAUUUGAGCUCCAUCACCCGCCAAAACGAGCAGAACUAAACGUGGUACGCGUCCAUCACCCUCUUCACCGGCGUCGACAAUGUUUCGGGGGCCGGAUCCAGGUUGAAAAACCGAGUUUCAGAUGAUUUUAUCUUUGACGUCUACUCUACCACCCUUCUAUGAGCUCACCCACGGACAGAUAUAUGGGGAAUAACAUAUAGAGGAAUACAUCGUCCUUCCAUUUUUAAACCGGAGAGACUACAGGUUCAGUCAGGAGAGAAGGAGGAGCCUCCUUGUUGCAUCGAAACCCAAGAAUUCAUGCUUUACAUGGUCUACCGCCCGCCCCGCUGCCACCUUCACUUUUUCACCAGCAGAUGCAUUAUUCUUAAAUGAUAAAGUACAUAACAGCUCUUCCUCAUUAUGUUUAAGCACACGAAAAAUUAUAGGGCAUACCGAAUGGUGCAAGAUGGCUCGUCGGCGCGAUCAACUUACCCUGAGAGUUGAUUUCACGGGCCGUCCCCCGAUGUUUUAUCCACAAAAGGACCACAAUUUGGCCAUAUGAACGUGGUAUGCGUCCAUCACCCUCUUCGUCGGCGUCGAUAACAUAUCGGGGGCCGGAUCCAGGAUGAAAAUCGAGUUUCGGAUGAUUUUAUGUUUGACGUGUACUCUACCACCCUUUUGUGAGCUCACCCACGGACAAAUAUAUGGACAAUAACAUAUAGAGCAAUGCACCAUCCUUCCAUUUUCAAACUGGAAAGACAGUAAGUUCAGUCAGGACAGAAGGAGGAGGCUCCUCGUUGCAUCGAAACCCAAAAAUUCAUGCUUUACAUGGUUUAUCGCCCGCCCUGCUGCCAACCUCACUUUUUCACCAGCAGAUGCAUUAUUCUUAAAUGAUAAAGUACAUAACAUCUCUUCCUCAUUAUGUUUAUGCACACAAAAAAUUAAAGGGCAUCCCGAAUGGUGCAAGAUGGCUCAUUGGCGUGAUCAACUUACCCUGAAAGUAGAUUUCACGGGCCGUCCCCCGAUGUUGUAUCCACAAAAGGACCACAAUUUGUCCAUAUGAACACCAUUUGAGCUCCAUCACCGGCCAAAACGAUCACAACUACUCGUGGUACAAGUCCAUCAGCCUCUUCAUCGGUGUCCACAACAUUUCGGGGGCCGGAUCCAGGUUGAAAAACCGAGUUUCGGAUGAUUUUAUCUUUGACAUAUACUCUACCACCCUUCUGUGAGCUCACCCACGGACAGACAUAUGGACAAUAACAUAUACAGCAAUGCACCAUCCUUCCAUUUUCAAACCGGAGAGACUACAUGUUCAGUCAGGAGAGAAGCGGGAGGCUCCUCGUUGCAUCGAAACCCAAGAAUUCAUGCUUUACAUGGUCUAUCGUCCGCCCCGCUACCACCCUCACUUUUUCACCAUCAGAUGCAUUAUUCUUAAAUGAUAAAGUACAUAGCAGCUCUUCCUCAUUAUGUUUAUGCACAUGAAAAAUUAUAGGGCAUCCCGAAUGGUGCAAGAUGGCUCGUCGGCACAAUCAACUUACCCUGAAAGUAGAUUUCACAGGCCGUCCCCCGAUGUUGUAUCCAUAAAAGGACCACAAUUUGGCCAUACAAAUUCCAUUUGAGCUCCAUCACCGGCCAAAACAAUCACAACUAAACGUGGUACGUGUCCAUCACCCUCUUCGUCGGCGUCGAGAACAUUUCGGGGGCCGGAUUCUGGUUGAAAAACCGAGUUUCGGAUGAUUUUAUCUUUCACGUGUACUCUACCACCCUUCCAUGAGCUCACCCAGGGACAGAUAUAUGGACAAUAACAUAUAGAGUAAUGCACCAUCCUUCCAUUUUCAAACCGGAAGGACUACAUGUUCAGUCAGGAGAGAAGGAGGAGGCUCUUUGUUGCAUCGAAACCCAAGAAUUCAUGCUUUACAUGGUCUAUCGCCCUCCCCGCUACCACCCUUGCUUUUUUACCAGCAGAUGCAUUAUUCUUAAAUGAUAAAGUACAUAAUAGCUCUUACUCAUUAUGUUUAUGCACACGAAAAAUUAUAGGGCAUCCCGAAUUGUGCAAGAUGGCUCGUCGGCGCGAUUAACUUACCCUGAAAGUAGAUUUCACGGGCCAUCCCCCGAUGUUGUAUCCACAAUAGGACCACAAUUUGGCCAUACGAACUCCAUUUGAGCUCCAUCACUAGCCAAAACAAAUCACAACUAAACGUGGUACGCGUCCAUCACCCUCUUCAUCGGCGUCAACAAAAUUAUAGGGGACGGAUCGAGCUUGAAAAACCGAGUUUCGGAUGCUUUUAUCUUUGAUGUGUACUCUACCACCCUUCUAUGAGCUCACCCAAAGACAAAUAUAUGGACAAUAACAUAUACAGAAAUGCACCAUUCUUCCAUUUUGAAACUGGAAAGACUACAUGUUCAGUCAGGAGAGAAGGAGGAGGCUCCUCAUUGCAUGGGAACCCAAGAAUACAUGCUUUACAUGGUCUAUCGCCCGCCCCGCUACCACCCUCACUUUUUUUACCAGUAGAUGCAUAAUUCUUAAAUGAAAAAGUACAUAACAACUCUUCCUCAUUAUGUUUAUGCACACAAAAAAUUAUAGGGCAUCCCGAAUGGUGCAAGGUGGCUCGUCGACGCGAUCAACUUACCCUGAAAGUUGAUUUCACGGGCGGCCCCCCGAUGUUUUAUCCAUAAUAGGACCACAAUUUGGCCAUACGAACUCUAUUUGAGCUCCAUCAUCGGCUAAACUGAUCACAACUAAACGUGGUACGCGUCCAUCGCCCUCUUCGUCGGCAUCAACAACAUUUCGGGGGCCGAAUCCAGGUUGAAAAACUGAGUUUUGGAUGAUUUUAUCUUUGACGUGUACACUACCACCCUUCUGUGCUCGACCACAGAUAGAUAUAUGGACAAUAAUAUAUAGAGGAAAGGACCAUCCUUCCAUUUUGAAACCGGAAAGACUACAGGUUCAGUCAGAACAGAAGGAGGAGGCUCUUCGUUGCAUCGAAACCCAACAAUUCAUGCUUUUACAUGGUUAGUAGGAUAAUAUUCUUGUGUGUUUCUAUUGCUGCUAACCAUGCCAGGAUCACAAGCCGACGAGAUUGACUGGGAGAACUUGACGAACAAGGAGCUUCAUGAUAAGUUUCAGCAAAUGAUGAGUGGACAGGUGGAGAAUGUGUUAAACAGAUUUGACGAGGCUAUGGAGAAGAUAGAUGGCAUGGAGAAGACGUUUGAAACAAAGCUUGAUAACAAGUUUGCUGAAUUGCUUUCGCGUUUUCCACCACCACCACCGGCUGCACCUGCCGCACGUCUGCAACAACAACAACGACUACCUCCGCAUCGGGAAACAACCCUCCGCCGAGCGAGCCGUGUCCCUCUUCAGCCUGGCCAAACUGCUGGUGUUGUUGUUGAUACUUCUGUGGCUCCUGCUGCUGAUGUGGAGAAGGAUGAUUAUGCGGGAGAUUACGAGGAUGAGGUUGAUGAAAAUCAGAACUACGUGCAACCACUAGCACCACAACCACCAGGUCGUCCACAUGCAAAUAAUGGCAAUGUUAGGGCUCCCCCUCAGGUACAAGAUCAUGACCAUCUCCCUAAACUGAAAUUGAAUAUUCCACCAAUUGAGGGUAGAUAUGUUCCUGAUAUAUAUCUUACUUGGGAGUUAGAAACUGAACAACGAUUUACAUGUUUACAAUAUCCUGGGGAGAGACGUGUUCCUCCUGCUGUUUGUGCUUUCACUAGCUUUGCAUGUGUUUGGUGGUCUGAACAUUAUCGAUUAUAUCUUGUUCCAACUACUUGGGCUGCUUUGAAAACUGCUAUGCGUACUCGUUGGGUUCCACCAUAUUAUCAACGUGAAUUACUUCAAAAAUUGCAGCGCUUAAAACAAGGAAAAAAUUCGAUAGAAGAAUAUUAUCAUGAAUUACAAACUGGCUUGAUUAGAUGUGGUAUUGUUGAGGAGAAUGAAGCUAUGCUUGCACGUUUUCUGGGUGGAUUAAAUAGAGAGAUUCAGACCAUUCUAGACUACAAGGAUUAUAAUAAUAUCACUCGAUUAUUCCAUCUUGCUUGUAAAGCUGAACGUGAAGUGCAGGAUCAACAGGCAUUGGCGCGGACUAACUUUUCUGCAGGUCAACCUUCAUCAUGGACACCACGUGCAUCAUCUACUUCCACACGUUCUGCUACACCGGCACCUCCGUUGGCUGCCACCUCCAACCGUGAUACAAUAAAGCAGGAACAAUCACCACUAUCUACCAAGAGCACACCUUCUAGGCCUGCAAAGAGCUCUUCUUCAUCCAUGGCAUCAACAGGGCAAACACAUGAUAUUAUUUGUCGAUGUUGCAAGGGUGGAGGUCAUUAUGCGAGAGAAUGCCCAUCUAAGCGUGUGAUGAUUGUUACUGAGGAUGGUGGGUAUGAGUCCGCUAGUGACUAUGAUGAGGAGACUUUGGCUCUUAUUACACAUGAAGAACAUGGUGGAGAUGAUUCUGAUCAUGAGAUGCAAUACAUGGCUGCUGAAGAUGCUGACAGGUAUGAAUGUUUAGUGGCUCAACGUGUUUUGAGUAAGCAGGUUACACAAGCUGAGCAAAGUCAGAGGCAUAAUUUGUUCCAUACAAAGGGAGUUGUGAAGGAACGUUCUAUUCGUGUCAUCAUAGAUGGAGGGAGCUGCAACAACUUGGCUAGCAUGGAGAUGGUGGAGAAGCUAUCUCUCACCACAAGACCACAUCCACAUCCUUACUACAUCCAAUGGUUCAACAACAGCGGCAAGGUUAAGGUAACACGUACUGUUCGUGUGCAUUUUAGUAUCUCUACAUAUGCUGAUUAUGUUGAUUGUGAUGUGGUACCUAUGCAAGCAUGUUCCUUAUUACUUGGUAGACCAUGGCAAUUUGAUAAAAAUUCUAUACACCAUGGUAGAAACAAUCAGUAUACUCUUGUUCAUAAGGAUAAAAAUAUUACUUUGCUUCCUAUGACUCCUCAUUCCAUUUUGAAAGAUGAUAUUAAUAGAGCUAAUAAAGCAAAACAGGAGAUAAAUAAGAGUGAAAAUCAGAUUGUGGCAAAAGAAUUUGAGCAACAAAUGAAGCCUAAUAAUAAACCAUCUAGUGUUGCUUCUGAAAUUAAAUUGAAAAGUGCAUGUUUACUUGCCACCAAAUCUGAUAUUGAUGAGCUAGAUUCUAGCAAAUCUGUUUGCUAUGCUUUUGUGUGCAAAGAGGCAUUAUUUUCAUUCAAGGACGUGCCUUCCUCUUUGCCCCCUAUUGUCACUAACAUUUUGCAGGAGUUCGCUAACGUCUUCCCACAAGACGUGCCACCGGGAUUACCACCUAUUCGAGGGAUUGAGCAUCAAAUUGACUUAAUUCCCGGUGCAUCGCUACCCAACCGUGCACCAUACCGUACCAAUCCAGAGGAGACGAAGGAGAUUAUGCGUCAAGUACAGGAGCUGCUUGACAAAGGUUAUAUACGCGAAUCUCUUAGUCCUUGUGCUGUUCCUAUUAUACUAGUACCUAAAAAGGAUGGUACGUCGCGUAUGUGUGUUGAUUGUAGAGGCAUUAAUAAUAUUACUAUUCGUUAUCGUCAUCCUAUUCCUAGGCUAGAUGAUAUGCUUGAUGAAUUGAGUGGCUCUACAAUAUUCUCCAAAGUUGAUUUGCGUAGUGGAUACCAUCAAAUUCGUAUGAAAUUGGGAGAUGAAUGGAAAACAUCAUUUAAAACUAAGUUUGGUUUAUAUGGGUGGUUAGUCAUGCCUUUUGGGUUAACUAAUGCACCUAGUACUUUCAUGAGACUAAUGAACGAAGUUUUACGUGCUUUCAUUGGACGAUUUGUGGUAGUCUAUUUUGAUGAUAUACUGAUUUAUAGCAAAUCUUUGGAAGAACAUUUGGAACAUUUACGUGUUGUUUUUAUUGCUCUACGUGAUGCACGUUUGUUUGGUAACCUUGGGAAGUGCACCUUUUGCACCGACCGAGUAUCUUUUCUUGGCUAUGUUGUUACUCCAUAGGGAAUUGAAGUUGAUAAAGCCAAGAUUGAAGCUAUUGAGAGUUGGUCGUAGCCCAAAAUGGUCACACAAGUGCGCAGUUUUCUUGGACUCGCUGGUUUCUAUAGGCAUUUUGUGAGAGAUUUUAGCACCAUUGCUGCACCUCUCAACGAGCUUACAAAGAAGGAUGUGCCUUUUGUUUGGGGUACCGCACAGGAAGAAGCCUUCACGGUAUUGAAAGAUAAGUUGACACAUGCUCCUUUACUCCAACUUCCUAAUUUCAAUAAGACUUUUGAGCUUGAAUGUGAUGCUAGUGGAAUUGGAUUAGGAGGUGUGUUAUUACAAGAUGGAAAACCUGUUGCAUACUUUUCUGAAAAAUUGAAUGGGCCUAGUCUGAACAAUUCUACUUAUGAUAAAGAAUUAUAUGCUCUUGUUCGGACCUUAGAAACAUGGCAACAUUAUUUAUGGCCCAAGGAAUUUGUUAUACAUUCUGAUCAUGAAUCUUUGAAACACAUUAAAAGUCAAGCAAAACUGAACCGUAGACAUGCUAAAUGGGUUGAAUUCAUUGAGACUUUUCCUUAUGUCAUUAAACACAAGAAGGGUAAAGAAAAUGUUAUUGCUGAUGCCUUGUCUCGUCGUUAUACUAUGCUUUCACAACUUGACUUUAAAAUAUUUGGUUUGGAGACCAUCAAAGAUCAAUAUGUUCAUGAUGCUGAAUUUAAAGAUGUAUUGCAGAAUUGUAAGGAAGGGAGAACUUGGAACAAGUUCGUUCUUAACGAUGGAUUUGUGUUUCGUGCUAACAAGCUAUGCAUUCCAGCUAGCUCCGUUCGUCUUUUGUUGUUGCAGGAGGCGCAUGGAGGAGGAUUAAUGGGACACUUUGGCGUCAAGAAGACGGAGGAUAUACUUGCUACACAUUUCUUUUGGCCAAAGAUGAGACGGGAUGUUGAGCGUUUUGUUGCUCGCUGCACUACAUGUCAAAGAGCUAAGUCACGACUCAAUCCUCAUGGUUUAUAUAUGCCUUUGCCUGUACCUAGUGUUCCUUGGGAGGAUAUAUCUAUGGACUUUGUUUUAGGUUUACCUCGAACAAAGAAGGGGAGGGAUAGCAUAUUUGUUGUCGUGGAUAGGUUCUCGAAAAUGGCACACUUUAUACCAUGUCAUAAAAGCGAUGAUGCUGUUAAUGUUGCUGAUUUGUUAUUUCGUGAAAUUAUUCGCUUACAUGGUGUGCCAAAUACUAUUGUUUCAGAUCGUGAUACUAAAUUUCUUAGCCACUUUUGGAGAUGUUUAUGGGCUAAGUUGGGGACUAAGCUGCUUUAUAGUACUACUUGUCACCCCCAAACUGAUGGACAAACUGAAGAACAUUGUCUACUAUGCUUAGGGCUGUUUUGAAGAAUAACAAGAAAAUGUGGGAAGAAUGCUUGCCUCAUAUUGAAUUUGCUUAUAAUCGUUCAUUGCAUUCUACUACUAAGAUGUGCCCUUUUGAAAUUGUGUAUGGUUUCCUACCUCAUGCACCUAUUAAUUUGUCGCCUCUUCCAUCUUCAGAGAAGGUUAAUUUUGAUGCUAAAGAACGUUCUGAAUUGAUUUUAAAAAUGCAUGAGUUAACUAAGGAAAACAUUGAGCGUAUGAAUGCUAAAUAUAAACUUGCUGGAGAUAAGGGUAGAAAACAUGUUGUGUUUGCACCUGGAGAUCUUGUUUGGUUACAUUUGCGUAAAGAUAGAUUUCCUAAUCUGCGCAAAUCAAAGCUAAUGCCACGUGCUGAUGGUCCUUUUAAGGUGUUAGAGAAAAUAAAUGAUAAUGCAUAUAAACUUGAGCUACCUGUAGAUUUUGGGGUUAGUCCCACUUUUAACAUUGCAGAUUUGAAGCCUUAUUUGGGUGAGGAAGAUGCGCUUCCGUCGAGGACGACUUCAUUUCAAGAAGGGGAGGAUGAUGAGGGGAUCAAUACCAUUGUUACACCCACAACCCCUACUGUUACAUAUACUGGACCAAUUACUAGAGCUCGCGCACGCCAAUUAAAUUACCAGGUACUUUCGUUUCUUGGUAAUGAUUCUAAUGUUCAUGAGAUUAUGAUGCUGCCUAAAUUGGAUACAUUUGUUUUGCUUACAAAUGAAGGGCCUAGCUUGGAGAAGGAUGAACAUUGGAGCAAGAACACGCAUGGAGUUGAUGGCAUGCGCAAGGGGAUCAAGAACGGAGUUACAAGUGAUGAUUUCAGGACUUUGAAGCCGUCAUAAGGAGUGCAUGAAGCCUUGGAUGAAAUAUACAAGAUGCAACUUCAUAAUAUUCGUCUAUAGGCUAUUCUAGGUGCUGCGUCACCUUAUUAAUGGGCCAGGCCCAUGUAAUUUCGAAAUACUUAAGUAUAGGCUAUUUUUAGAGUCCGUAUGUGUGGGGAAACAAGAGUUAGGGUUGGUUUCGGACCCCACCCUCAAGGGCCACGAAAUUCCCCCCUCUUCCUCCAUAUAUACAGCCCUUAGGGCGUCGUUUAGACUUUGGGGUUUUGUUUAGAUUAAAAGUUCGCCAUAGUUGCAACUUUGCGUACUUCGUUUGUGUCCAACGACCAGACCAAGACGUCACAGAACCCCACCUUGAUCAAUAAAGCUUUCAUCUUAUAUUUGCAAUAUACCGAUUGCAAUCUCAGUUUCUUGCUUGUUCUUCAUUUGCUCGCAGGAAACAGACCCUCGUGGUCAGGUUGAUCGUGCUCCGGCGUGGUCAAUAACCCUCGGAAGUUGGUUUAGCGGUUGCUAAGGCGCGACGUCUCGCACGUCCGUAGUCGGAUCGUCAAGGUCGACUCCCACAGAAAACGAUAGCCACCAUCUCAUCGAAACAUCGGGACACCUUAGCCUCUAUUAGGAGCCAACAUGGGUAUCCAGAUCCCGCUGUUGGUUAUUGACCAGAGAGCGAUCUCGGUCAUGUCUACAUGUCUCCCGAACCCGUAGGGUCUACACACUUAAGGUUCGGUUACGCUAGGGUUGUAGGGAUAUGUAUAUGCAGUAACCCGAAUGUUUUUCGGAGUCCCGGAUGAGAUCCCGGACGUCACGAGGAGUUCCGGAAUGGUCCGGAGGUAAAGAAUUAUAUAUAGGAAGUGCUAUUUCGGCCGUCGGGACAAGUUUCGGGGUCACCGGUAUUGUACCGGGACCACCGGAAGGGUCCCGGGGGUCCACCGGGUGGGGCCAACUGCCCCGGGGGCCACAUGGGCUGUAGGGGUGUGCGCCUUGGCCUAUAUGGGCCAAGGUCACCAGCCCCAAGAGGCCCAUGCGCCAAGAGAUAAGAAAAGGAAGAGUCCUAAAGGGGGAAGGCACCUCCUAGGUGCCUUGGGAAGGAGGGAUUCCUCCCUUGGCCGCCGCCCCCCUAGGAGAUUGCAUCUCCUAGGGCCGGCGCCCCCCCUAGGCUCCCUAUAUAUAGUGGGGGAAGGAGGGCCUCUCAUACGACGCCUUUGGUGCCUCCCUCUCCCUCUCCAACACAUCCUCCUCCUCCAUAGAGCUUGGCGAAGCCCUACCGAAGUACUGCAGCUCCAUCACCACCACGCCGUCGUGCUGCUGCUGGAGCCAUCCUCCUCAACCUCUCCUUCCCUUGCUGGAUCAAGAAGGAGGAGACGUCACGCUGACUGUACAUGUGUUGAACACGGAGGUGCCGUCCGUUCGGCGCUAGGAUCUCCGGUGAUUUGGAUCACGUCGAGUACGCCUUCCUCAUCCCCGUUCUUUGAACGCUUCCACGCGUGAUCUACAAAGGUAUGUAGAUGCAAUCCGAUCACUCGUUGCUAGAUGAACUCCUAGAUGGAUCUUGGUGAAACCGUAGGAAAUUUUUUUGUUUUCUGCAACGUUCCCCAACAUUGGUCUGGUCGUUGAACACAAACGAAGUACGCGAAGUUGCAGCUAUGGCGAACUUUUGAUCUAAACAAAACCCAAAGUCUAAACGACGCCCUAAGGGCUGUAUAUAUGGAGGAAGAGGAGAGAAUUUCGUGGCCCUUGAGGGAGGGGUCCGAAACCAACCCUAACUCUUGUUUCCCCACACAUACGGACUCUAAAAACAGCCUAUACUUAAGUAUUUCGAAAUUACAUGGGCCUGGCCCAAUAAUAAGGUGACGCGGCACCUAGAAUAGCCUAUGGACGAAUAAUAUGAAGUGGCAUCUUGUAUAUUUCGUCCAAGGCCUCAUGCACUCAUUAUGGUGGCUUCAAAGUCCUGUAAUCAUCACUUGUAACUCUGUUCUUGUUCCCCUUGCGCAUGCCAACAUCUCCAUGCUUGAACUUGCUCCAAGGUUCAUCUUUCUUGUCCAUGGUAGGCCCUUCAUUUGUAAGCAAAACAAAUGUAUCCAAUUUAGGCAGCAUCAUAUUCUCAUGAAUAUUGGAAUCGUUACCAAGAAACAAAAGUACCUGAUAAUUCAAUUGGCGUGUGUGAGCUCUAGUAAUUGGUCCAGUAUGUAUAGCAGCAGGGGCUGUGGGUGUAACAAUGGUACUGAUGUCCUCAUCAUCCUCCCCUUCUUGAAAUGAAGUCGUCCUCGACGGAAGCUCAUCUUCCUCACCCAAAUAAGGCUUCAAAUCUGCAAUGUUAAAAAUGGGACUAACCCCAAAAUCUGCAGGCAGCUCAAGUUUAUAUGCAUUUUCAUUAUUUUCUCUAACACCUUAAAUGGACCAUCAGCACGUGGCAUUAGCUUUGAUUUGCGCAAAUUAGGAAACCUAUCCUUACGCAAAUGUAACCAAACAAGAUCUCCAGGUGCAAAGACAACAUGUUUCCUACCCUUAUCUCCAACAAGUUUAUAUUUAGCAUUCAUACGCUCAAUGUUUUCCUUAGUUAACUCAUGCAUUUUUAAAAUCAAUUCAACACGUUCUUUAGCAUCAAAAUUAACCUUCUCCGAAGAUGGAAGAGGCAACAAAUCAAUGGGUGCACGAGGUAGGAAACCAUAAACAAUUUCAAAAGGACACAUCUUAGUAGUAGAAUGCAACGAACGAUUAUAAGCAAAUUCAAUAUGAGGCAAGCAUUCUUCCCACAUUUUCUUAUUAUUCUUCAAAACAGCCCUAAGCAUAGUAGACAAUGUUCUAUUGACUACUUCAGUUUGUCCAUCAGUUUGGGGGUGACAAGUAGUACUAAAAAGCAAUUUAGUCCCCAACUUAGCCCAUAAACAUCUCCAAAAGUGGCUAAGAAAUUUAGUAUCACGAUCUGAAACAAUAGUAUUUGGCACACCAUGCAAGCGAAUAAUUUCACGAAAGAACAAAUCAGCAACAUUAACAGCAUCAUCGCUUUUAUGACAUGGUAUAAAGUGUGCCAUUUUCGAGAAUCUAUCCACGACAACAAAUAUGCUAUCCCUCCCCUUCUUUGUUCGAGGUAAACCUAAAACAAAGUCCAUAGAUAUAUCCUCCCAAGGAAUACUAGGCACAGGCAAAGGCAUAUAUAAACCAUGAGGAUUGAGUCGUGACUUAGCUUUUUGACAUGUAGUGCAGCGAGCAACAAAACGCUCAACAUCCUGUCUCAUCUUUGGCCAAAAGAAAUGUGUAGCGAGUACGUCCUCCGUCUUCUUCACGCCAAAGUGUCCCAUUAAUCCUCCUCCAUGCGCCUCCUGCAACAACAAAAGACAAACGGAGCUAGCUGGAAUGCAUAGCUUAUUAGAACGAAACACAAAUCCAUCAUUAACGACGAACUUGUUCCAUGUUCUACCUUCUUUACAAUUCUGCAAUACAUCUUUAAAUUCCGCAUCAUGCACAUAUUGAUCUUUGAUGGUCUCCAAACCAAAUAUUUUAAACUCAAGUUGUGAAAGCAUAGUAUAACGACGAGACAAUGCAUCAGCAAUAACAUUUUCUUUACCCUUCUUGUGUUUAAUGACAUAAGGGAAAGUCUCAAUGAAUUCAACCCAUUUAGCAUGUCUACGGUUCAGUUUUGCUUGACUUUUAAUGUGUUUCAAAGAUUCAUAAUCAGAAUGUAUAACAAAUUCUUUGGGCCAUAAAUAAUGUUGCCAUGUCUCUAAAGUCUGAACAAGAGCAUAUAAUUCUUUAUCAUAAGUAGAAUAGUUCAGACUAGGCCCACUCAAUUUUUCAGAAAAGUAUGCAACAGGUUUGCCAUCUUGUAAUAACACACCUCCUAAUCCAAUUCCACUAGCAUCACAUUCAAGCUCAAAAAUCUUAUUAAAGUCAGGAAGUUGAAGUAAAGGAGCAAGUGUCAACUUAUCUUUCAAUACCGUGAAGGCUUCUUCCUGUGCGGUACCCCAAACAAAAGGCACAUCCUUCUUUGUAAGCUCAUUGAGAGGUGCAGCAAUGGUACUAAAAUCUCUCACAAAAUGCCUAUAGAAACCAGCCAGGCCAAGGAAACUCCUCACUUGUGUGACCGUUUUGGGCUGCGGCCAACUCUCAAUAGCUUCAAUCUUGGCUUUAUCAACUUCAAUUCCCUGUGGAGUAACAACAUAGCCAAGAAAAGAUACUCGGUCGGUGCAAAAGGUGCACUUCCCAAGGUUACCAAACAAACGUGCAUCACGUAGAGCAUUAAAAACAGCACGUAAAUGUUCCAAAUGUUCUUCCAAAGAUUUGCUAUAAAUCAGUAUAUCAUCAAAAUAGACUACCACAAAUCGUCCAAUGAAAGCACGUAAAACUUCGUUCAUUAGUCUCAUGAAAGUACUAGGUGCAUUAGUUAACCCAAAAGGCAUGACUAACCACUCAUAUAAACCAAACUUAGUUUUAAAUGCUGUUUUCCAUUCAUCUCCCAAUUUCAUACGAAUUUGAUGGUAUCCACUACGUAAAUCAACUUUGGAGAAUAUUGUAGAGCCACUCAAUUCAUCAAGCAUAUCAUCUAGCCUAGGAAUAGGAUGACGAUAACGAAUAGUAAUAUUAUUAAUGCCUCUAUAAUCAACACACAUACGCGAU
rnacentral:lncRNA from 1 species